CCGCCUUAUUUGGAAAACGCGUCAAACAGUUUUAUUUUAAUUGCAUCGUCACCGUCAAAUGUUCCACCAUCUAUGUAAUCUUAGCCGCCUAUCUGGACUCCGGAUCCUAUAUAAACUCCUACAGGGUUCCUUCAUUGCUCAAAUUUGUUUGCUUCGUGAUAGCUCUCGAUUUUAGGGUUCGUCAUUCUUGUUUUUAUCGCUCUGAGUUGUUUUCGUUAUUUGGAUUGGAUUGUAGAUAUCAAGAAUUGCGGUACUCAAGAAUUAUUUGUAUAAAUUUUUGAUAAUGAAGAUAUACGUUUAACAGUUUUGCAGCGACUCUUUUUGCGAUUCUCGAUACCACAGAUAAGAACGGGAAUGGUUUCAGACUUCUUGAUUUCAGAGUUUGCUCGUUCUCGUUCUUGUGCCCUACUUUCUCUCUUUUCUUAAUUUCUUGAUUGCUUGCUUGAUUAGUUGCUCAGUUAAUUGCUACGCGUAAGGCUUGAUUUCAGGUUCUGCUGUUCGACUGGCUGCUAUGAACGUGGUUGUUAGGGAUUUUCUUAUUGAUACCUUUUCUGUGGAACCUGUGGUAGGCCGAUGUUCAUCUAAACUAAAAAUCUUCUCUCUCAUUUUCUCCAUCCAUUUCUUUGUGAGUUCCCUGUAGGCCUCACAUGGAAAUAUGUGCUUAGAUGAUUGUCGUGGACAUUCUGCUUGAUGUUUCAUGGAAGAGAGGCAAUGAAUGUAUCGUGGAAUUUGAACCUUCGCAUUUGAUGCAAUUUAUAAAUUGGAAAUAGGAAGACUGUAGAUCAUCCAUGGGGCUUAAGGGAGAAGAUGAGCCUUGACAAAUAUAUGAUUUUAUAAUUUCUUUUACUCUCAAUAUUUCUUUAUCAAUUCUGAGACCAGAUGAUUCCUGAUGUGUUGUUAUUUUCCUAUUUUUUAUUGUAGGUGAGAUGAUAUAUAAACACAUGAUUCCUUAUGGUUCUAUCUUUCCUUAAGUUGUUGCAUUCUCCAACCUAGUUUUUAGAUUUGGUGAUCUUUAUUAAAUUCUCUUCUACAAUUUAAACGUCAAUGCAAUAUUGCUCAUCAGAUACUAUAUUAUUUUGAUCUUCCUCAUUUUGAUCUUCCAAGUUUUGUGUUCUUAUUAUUUUGGUUUCUUUGUUUUGUUGUUUCAUCUGGUUGUUGUGGUUUUCAUUUAUUGGCAUAUGCUCUUUUAUUUUAAUGAAUUGCUACUAUAUUUAGUUCUUCAAAUAUUCUUCUUCUUUUGAUCAUGUUUUCAUUUGUUGGCAGUAUGAUGGAGUUCUGAUGUGAAAUUUCUGCUUUAAGGUGUUGCAGGUAAAGUAUCAAAUGUUGGUUAUGUUUUGCAAACUUGAUAGAUUUACGUGUUUAUCAUCCUUUGUUGAAUUUGUCAACUGCAUCACAUAUAGUAUCCAACAAUCAAGUUUAUUUUAAUACUCUUCUUGGAUUGUGCGAUAUCUUCGAAAAUAUUGUUAUGCAAUAUAAAGCAAUUAGGUUUAGUUUGAUACACCUUUUUUAGAUUGUGGGUGUUACACAGGAGAGAUAGGUCUAUUGAUGUACGGUGAGGGGGUGGUUAUAACUAGAAAGCUAGCCUUAGGGUUUUCUUGAACUUUAAUUUUGCAGUGCUGAAGUUUAUCUAAUUUUGGAGAAAUUGGGACAACUUUGGGGGAUUCAUUUUGUAACCACGUUCUACUGAUUAGCGUUGUUUGGAGAAUCAUGUUACACUCACUUUUUUCUUGGAGAUCACUAAAUGUCUCAGGGAAUUUCUUAUUGAAAUAUUCAUGUACAUGUGUAUGUUAGAAACAUGAUACAUAAAUCAAAACCAAUAACUUCUAGUUUUUAUUUUGUUUGUUUUUGUCACUAUAAAAUAUAUAUGUACUUGUAUCAUUCGGUGCCGAGUACACGUAAUGCAUGUGUUGGUUUGCAGUCUGAAUUUUGAGAUAUUGGAGAUGAGUGUCUGAAUUUCAAGAUAUUAGAGAUGAGUGCUUCUGCGGUGUGAACUACUUAACAUGGUGUCGAGGAGAUGUGGAUAGUCAUGUUUGGCUGGUUGAGCUGUAUAUUCUGUUGCUAUGCUUAAUUUUGUGAUCCAAACUUAGAUUUGGAUAUUUCUGCAUCAUCCCUUCUGAUUCUUCUAUGCAAGUUUGUACUUAGAUUUUCACACUUUUUCAUUCUUCCUUACAUGCUGGUGUUUGAAGUUUUUGUAUUUCUUCAGGUGAUGAAGCUUUUGUUGUGUCUAUAUGAGGAACCUAAAUUAUAGUUUUAGCAUACAAGAUUAUGGAAUUACUUUUUCCCCUUCCCAAGUUGAGGAAUUUUUACAAGAUAUGUGUUGUUUGUUUUGAUGAUUGGUUGGUUGGGGAUAACUCAACUUUGUCCGAAUAGGUUUUCUAUAAUCUUCUGUUAUGAUGUUUCUAUUUGUGAUUUAUGAUGAUUAUGAUACAUACUCCUAAAAGACAUCCUCUCUUCUUUGCUGCAGUGGACCAAAGACUCUUAUUAGGAUGAAACCAAAAUUAUCAUUACAUGAUCUCUCGAGUUCCUCAUAUUUUGUGGGCCGUAUACUCCCACUGUUGCUACGCUCUAGUUUGGUCAUCUCUACUAAUACUCUUUUCAUUUCAAUAUUUGUUUGAUUUUGAUAUUCAAUAUCUACUUUAUUCAACAUAUACUUUUGUCAGAUCCAUAGUCUCUCCUGUGUGGAUGUUACACCGGAGAUAACCUAUAAAUGUCUUCUUUUUUUGGUGGAACCUGUGGCAGUCAGAGGCUCACAUUCUUUUUGUUUAUAGCUGCCGUCAGAGGUUAACAUUCUUUCUGUCUAUAGCUUUGGGAAAGAAUAUUCAAUUUUUUAGUUACAUAUGGUCUAUUAGUUUUGGUAUUUGGGAUAUUUGUCCAGUAAUGGUGUGUCCUGUUUUAGUUGGGGGCAUACAAGAAACCAUACCCGAUUCUAGGGAACAUCUCUAUCUCGAGGAUAAGAAAAUUUGCGGUUUUAUAAUAUAUUAAUAAAAUAUUAUAUUAUAUUAUAAAAUUAUGUAAACUAUUUUUUUACUUUUAAGCGAAAGUGGUGUUUUCUGUUUAACAUAUAUUAUAGGUAAAAACGUGGUUAAAGAUGUGAGGUUAACUGAAUCCAAAUAAUAAGGUAGAAUCUGUUUUUGAGUUUGGUAUAGGAUAUUUAUACUUUUGUUUUUAACUUUCUAUAUGUACGGCCUAUAUUUAUUUAUUGGCUAUUUCAAUUCAAUAAUAGUAGAGCUUUUUCAACUUCUUUUUUUUUUUUUUUCAUUUCGUAACAAAAGGAACACAGGAUGACUAUGGCGAAAAAUGAAGGGAAUAUGUCGUGUUACAGCGAAGAUGAAUGAUAUAGCGUAUUUGAUAUAAAAAAUGAACAUUUAGUAAGCGGUGGAAAGCAUGGAAUGUGUGAUGAUGCUUUUUGCCCUACAUGUCCCGAGUACUUACAAGUUAAUCAAGAAAUAAUAUCAGAAGUUUCUAUUUUAUCACAUCAAGAGGUAUUUUUCUUCCUAAUAUAAUUGAUACUAUAAAUUAAAGAAAACUUUGAUUUAUAGUAUCAAUUAUAUUAGGAAGAAAGAUACCUCUUGAUGAGAUAAAGUAGAAACUUCUGAUAUUAUUUCUUGAUCAACUUGUAAGUACUCGGGACAUGUAGGGCAAAAAGCAACAUCACACAUUCCAUGCUUUCCAACGCUUACUAAAUGCUCAUUUUUUAUAUCAAAUACGCUAUACCAAUCAUCUUCGCUGUAACACGACAUAUUCCAUUCAUUGUUCGCCAUAGCCAUCCCAUGUGUUCCUUUUGUUACGAAAUGAAAAAUAAAAUAAAAUAGGAUUGGGAAAGCUCUACUAUUAUUGAAUUGAAAUAGCCAAUAAAUAUAGGCCGUACAUAUAGAAAGUUAAAAACAAAAGUAUAAAUAGGAGAUCCACUUUGACUAUACCAAACUCAAAAACAGAUUCUACCUUAUUAUUUGGAUUCAGUUAACUCCACAUCUUUAACCACGUUUUUACCUAUAAUAUAUGUUAAACAGAAAACACCACUUUCGCUUAAAAGUAAAAAAACAGUUCACAUAAUUUUAUAAUAUAAUAUUUAUUUAUUUUAUUAAUGUCUUUGAACUGUCUAUAGAAAUUAAUAAAAAAUAUUAUAUUGCAUCCAAAGAGUAUGGAAAAGGUUUUAGAAUGAGAUAAAUAUAUUAAAAAUUAUUUUUACACCCUUCUCUAUAUUUUAAAAUUUUAUAUUUUGUUGUAUUUUAUACACUACUAAAAAUAAUGCAAUCACUGCAAGAAAAAUGUUGAUUAGCUGGGUGAGUUUGCCAGGUGAUAUACACCUCGCAAAUUAUUGCAGUUGCGGGGUGCAAAACACCUCUCAAUCCAGUUUUUAAAAAAAAUAUAUAUAUAGAUGUUUUUUAAGAAAUUUGAAAUUUUGGGAAAAAACGUUGCAAGAGUGUUAAUCACCUCGCAACAAUGUUUUAAAAAAAUAUUGGAAAAUCAAAUAUUACAUUUACUAAAAAGUCAGGGUGGCAGGUGACUGUUUGGUGAUUUUAUUGACACAAAAGUUGCGAAGUGCAAACCACCUCGCAAGUCUCAAGGCCUCUGUGCGUUGUGGGGUGAGGACCACUUCACAAGUUAUUUUUAAAAAUUUUGAAGAAAAAUAAAUCUGGCAAUUAAUGAUGGCACGGAGUAGCAGGGGUGCUUUGUCAGACACAUAGGUUGCGGGGUGGAAUGCAUUUCGCAACUUGCAAUGGCUUUUUUUAUUGCGGGGUGAUUAACACUACGCAAGUUUUCUAAUAAAAUUAGGGGGAAAAUAAAUCUGAAAAUUAAUGAUGGUAUAGAGUAGUGGAGACAUGUGUCAGAACAGAGGUUGCGGGGUUAUUAGCACGCCGCAAGUUCCAACGUCAAAAAUAUUUGCUGGGUGUUUCUCACCUCGCAAAAUUUCUUCAUAAUACUUUUCAUUUUCAUUUCCCACAUUCAGUAUUCACCCAAAAAAACCCUAAAAGUCAUCUUCUUCACCCCGACACCACCAGUCUUCACCCCAACACCAUUGUCUUUGGUACUUCCCAUCAAACCACCACAAAUCUCAGUCUCUUUCGCUUUUUCCCUAAAAAUCAUCGCCUUCAGUUCAUCUUAAUUCCAUUUUUUUUACAAAUCAACACAUCAAAACAGCUUGUAAUGCCUUGUUGGAUUUGUCUAUCACCACCUUCGCCUAACAACAACUUCUACAUUUCGAAGCAUAAUCUUAUGUUUAUAAAAUGGGGCUUGCAAUUUCUGUUUCAUUAGUUCUAUAAGGUUGGAUUGGAGUGUGAGGGUUAUUAGAAAAUAGUUUUCUAAUCACAUUGCUGGGUUCAAGCAUUAACAGAGCUUUUUAAGAAGAUCUCUAAUUCAAUUGAAGCUGAUGGAAAAAUAAGCAAGGAAGAAAUUAAAUUAGCAAUCUUCAAGGAUAGUCAACCACAAAAUUUAUAUGCAGAUCAGGAAGUUUUUCUCUUCCAGUUGCUUAACUACUCUUUGAUUGUGAUCUUCAACUUUGUUUGUGAAGAGACCAGAUAGCUCUUGGUAUAGAUACCGAGAAGUAGAAAAGUUGGCAUCUCUUUCAGGAAUUUAACUAAGGGUAAAAUGCAUCCACGUCCUGAGGAUAAAGGUAAGAGUGUUAAGAAAGUUCGUCGCACGAGGAUACGUGUAGUUGAGGUUUCUUCAAAUUCUAUGUAUUGCCCUUUGCCUCAGUCUAGUCAGGGGGCUCAGCAGACUACACCUCAGCAGACUCAGUCUAGUCAGGGGGCUCAGCUGACUACACCUCAGAGGACUACACCUCAGCAGACUAUGCCAUAUCAGACUAUGCCUCAGUCUAUGAGCACAGAUCCAUCUCAUAGAUAUUAUACUUCACUUCUCACUUCACAGAAUGUUCCACCAGGAUUUUUGAUACCCGACAUGCAGCCUGGGGGUUCUAGCAUCCCAUAUCCCCACCUGGACCCUCACCAUCCCAUCAGCCCGAGGAAUCUCGCAUCCCACAUGUCGAUCCUCGUCAUCCCACCACUCCAUGGGCUCAGGCACCUCACAUUCUCCACAUGGAUCCUCGACAUCCCAUCACCACCAGGAGCAUGAUGAUCAUAUAUUGCCCGACUAGGAGGAUGAGGAGGAGGAGGAGGAGGAGAAGGAGGAGGAGGACAUUGAGGACGUGGAUGUGGUUGCGAUGGAGUAUAAACAUGAGAAGCAGAAUGGAAGAUGGGUUAUUAGACCUGUUGGAAACUCUUUUGUGCCAAGUAGGCCUGCUGCAGUUAGCAUAAAGGAAAUUAUUCAAGAGUUGUAUAAAGCAUCUUGGAAGACUUUCGGACAACUUGUGAAGAAGGAUCGCGAUAUAUAUAAAUGUUGGUUCGACAAAUUUCGGGUAUAAUAUUUUCUUUGAGCAGUUAAUUUUCUUCUUCUAGUUGGUAAAUAAUGCAUGUUAGGUACACUAUCUUUGCUAUGAUUGUUAGAUAAUGCAUGUUAGGCUGAGACCAAACAAUAGUGCAUGUAAGGAUUGUUUGUCACUAUGUGACUAUGUACACAGUCUGGUUGUUAAAUAAUGCAUGUUAGGUUCGACAUGCAUGUUAUUUCUUCUUCUAAUUAUUUUCUUCUUCAUGAAUUUAUAAGGACCUCAUUUGGUUUACAUCAAAUGUAAUAGAAAAAAAGCAAUGCAAAUAGUAUUAAUUUAAGCAAGUAAUGUCUAUGAUAGGCAAAUCAAUUUUAAUUAAGGAUAAGGGAAGUAAUACUGAUUGGUGUUGGUCACUUGCUUGAAAAAAAAAAAGAAAACAGUGAGGAUUCCACUUAGUUCAAGUAGCUGUAUAAGAAUUUUCAGUUUAGAUCGAUGGUGAGUAAAAAAAGUAUCUAAACUUAUUAAAAAGAAAAAAUCUAUUUGGUGCUGAGUACACGUAAUGCAUGUGUUGGUUUGCAGUCUGAAUCUCCAGAUAUUGGAGAUGAGUGUCUGUCUGAAUUUCAAGAUACUGGAGAUGAGUGUCUGAAUUUCAACAUAUUGGAGAUGAGUGCUUCUGCGGUGUGAACUACUUAACAUGGUGUCAAGAAGAUGUGGAUAGUCAUGUUUGGCUGGUUGAGCUGUAUAUUCUGUUGCUAUGCUUAAUUUUGUGAUCUAAACUUAAAUUUGAAUAUUUCUGCAUCAUCCCUUCUGAGUCUUCUAUGCAAGUUUGUACUUAGAUUUUCACACUUUUUCAUUCUUCCUGGGAUUCUAUUUUACUUACAUGCUGGUGUUUGAAGUUUUUGUAUUUCUUCAGGUGAUGAAGCUUCUGUUGUGUCUAUACGAGGAACCUAAAUUAUAGUCUGACUUAGCAUACAAGAUUAUGGAAUUACUUUGUUCCCUUCCCAAGUUGAGGAAUUUUUACAAGAUAUGUGUUGUUUGUUAUGAUGAUUGGUUGGUUGGAGAUAGCUUAACUUUGUCAGAAUAGGUUUUCUAUAAUCUUCUGUUAUGAUGUUUCUAUUUGUGAUUUAUGAUGAUUAUGAUACAUACUCCGAAAAGACAUCCUCUCUUCUCUGUUGCAGUGGACCAAAUGAAACCAAAAUUAUCAUUACAUGAUCUCUCGAGUUCCUCAUAUUUUGUGGGCUAUAUACUCCCUUGUUUCUACGCUCUAGUUUGGUCAUCUCUCUACUAAUACUCUUUACAUUUCAAUCUUUGUUUGAUUUUGAUAUUCAAUAUCUACUUUACUCGACAUAUACUUUUGUCAGAUCCUUAGUCUCUUGUGUGUGGAUGUUACACAGGAGAUAACCUAUAAAUGUGUCCUUUUUUUUUUGUGGAACCUGUGGCAGUCAGAGGCUCACAUUCUUUUUGUUUAUAGCUGCCGUCAGAGGUUAACAUUCUUUCUGUCUAUAGCUUUGGGAAAGAACAUUCAAUUUUUUAGUUACAUAUGGUCUAUUAGUUUUGGUAUUUGGGAUAUUUGUCCUCUAAUGGUGUGUACUGUUUUUGUUGGAGGCAUACAAGAAACCAUACCCGAUUCUAGGGAACAUAUCUGUCUCGAGGAUAAGCAAAUCUGCGGUUUUUUUGCAUCUCUUUUGUUUUGUUGAUUUGCCAUUUCCUUUGUUAUAAUUUAUUUUUUGUUUAUUUUUAUUGUCAUAUGUGAUAUAUCAGAAAUUAAAAUCUUAUCUCCUAUAUGGGCAUCCCUCAGCUGCUACUGGUGCUAGAACUUGGUAUAAGGGGAGCCUAAUUGAGCACAAGAGGUUGCAAUUGGUUGUUGUUGUUGUUGUACUAUCAUGUGGUGAUCUCUACAUGUUUUUUUGUAUAUUAAGGUAUUGUUUUCUCGAUUUCUUUGAGUUCUCUGUAGGCGUCAAAUGGAACAUGUGCUUAGAUGAUUGUCGUGGAUAUUCUGCUUGAUGUAUUGCUACAUGCAAACUUUACCAAAUAUCUGAAAAAAUAUAUACGAUUCACUAGAAAUGUCAAUGCAAUAAUGCACGGUAUCCAUUUAAGCACUAUUAUUUCUUUAUUAGACGAGAUUUUAUAAAUUUGAAAUAGGAAUAUUGUAGAUCAUCCAUGGGGCUUAAGGAAGAAGAUAAAAGCCUUCACAAAUCAGAAUAUGAUUUUAUAAUUUCUUUUACUCAAUAUUUCUUUAUCAAUUCUGAGAGCAGAUGAUUCUUGAUUUGUUGUUAUUUUCCUAUUUGUUAUUGUAGGUGAGAUGAUAUAUAAGCACAUGUUGCGUUCUCCAACCUAGAUUUUAGAUUUGGUGAUCUCUAUUAAAUUUGGUGAUCUCUAUUAAAUUCUAUCUAUGGAUUUAAAUGUCAAUUCAAUAAUGCUCAUCAGAUACUACAUUAUUUUGAUCUUCCUCAUUUUGAUUUUCAAGUUGUGUUCUUAUUAUUUUGGUUUGUUCAUUUUGUGGUUUCAUUUGGUUGUUGUGAUUUUGAUCUUGGAAUUUCUUUCUUAAUUUAAUAAUUUGCUACUAUAUUUAGUUCUUCAAAUAUUCUUCUCUUGAUCAUGUUAUCAUUUGUGGGCAGAACGGUGGAGUUCUGAUGCAAGAUUUCUGCUUUAAGGUGGUGCCAGGAAAGUAUCAAAUGUUGGUUGAGUUUUGCGAACUUGUUACUUUUACAUGUUUAUCAUCCUUUGUUGAAUUUGUGAACUGCAAGAUCACGUGUAGUAUCAACCAAUCAAGUUUAUUUUAAUACUCUUGUCGGAUUGUGCAAUACUUUUAAAAAUAUUGUUGUGCAAUAUAAAGCAAUUAGGAUUAUUUUGAUACACUCUUGGAUUGUGGUUAUUUUGAUUUCACUAAUUUCACUAAUGCUUUGCAUAGUUUUAUUGCCCUGUUUAUUUAUUCCUUAAUGAUUUUCACUUGGGUGUUACAUGGAAGAUGGGUCUAUUGAUAUAAGGUGAUGGGGGGUUUAUAACUAGAAAGUUAGCCUUAGGAUUUUCUUACCAUAUACAUAUUUAUCUUCUCUUGCAUUUUAGUUUUUGAACUUUAAUUUGGUAGUGAAGAAGUUUAUCUAAUUCUGGAGAAAUUGAACUUUAAUUUGGUAGUGAAGAAGUUUAUCUAAGUCUGUGCCUUUUCAUACAUGUAGGAUUUUAGACAACUUGGUCACGCCGUAAGUGUGCCGUUUGUUCUGAUGAUUUGUUCAAGGACAACUUAACUUUGUUGGGAGAGUUUUUCUAUAUUCUUCUUUUGUUGUUGUGUUUAUAUUGUUAUUUUUUAUUUAUGAUUAUGAUGCUUCUAAGAAUAUAUUCUCUUGUUUACAGUGGCCCAAAGACUCCUUUGUAUUAGGAGGAGGUUGAAACUGUGUAUUUUCAUAAGGAUACAUGUCCUUGCAAAUUGGAUGGUAAAUUUGUUCUUUUGUAGUUUGUGGUGCAUACACCCUAUCGUUGUUAUGCUUUAAUUUGGUCAUAUCUACCAAGACUCUUUACAUUUCAGUCUUUGUUUGAUUUUGAUACCUAGCCUCUAUUUGCCAGAUCCAUUGAGUUUGCAUUUGGAACCCAUGGUUGGCUUAAUUGGUUCACAUACUUUCCAUUCCACCGCUUUGGGAUGAAACAUGGGAUUUCUUACCUGCAUAUAACACAGAAUCUGCAAUUGGCUGCUUUGGGAUGAAACAUGGGAUUUCGUUACAUGCUUUCCAUUCCAUGAUUUCUUUAUUCAAGAUCUAGUUUUCUUGAUUUCUUCAUAAGUUUCUUGUGGAUGUCAUAGGGGGAUAUAUAAUGUGGAAGUUGUGACAAAUUUAUCAUGGACAUUUUGCUUGCAAGAGAAGCUAUGAAUGUACUUGGGUAUUUUAAAAUUAUGCUCGACAUUAUGAAUGAGAUGCUUUUUUGUUUUGGUGUGUCCUAUGAUGUACAAUGUAGCAGAUUUGUGUGUUUAGAAGUAUGGGUUUAUGUUUAGGAGAAUUUAAGCAUUUAUGGUUCUAUAUUAUAUGUCCACCUCUUUCUUGGAUAAUUGAAACAUGCGUCUGUUUUGCAGAGUGAAGUUUGAAUAUCUAGAAUGUUUAGAGAUAAUUGAUGAAAUGGAGAAGAAACAAGAGUUUGUAAAAGUCAAAUAUCUUCAAUGAUUCAUCCUUCACUAUUUUAAUAUCGAGUUCUAUUUAUAAGACAUGAGUUGAUUCGUGAACUUACUUUUCUGUAGUUUGGUUUGGCAAAAUAUUGUUCUUUGUCAUAUAGAGCCACAACUUUGAUUUGGUGAUCUCUAAUAUUAGGAAGAUCCUAAAAGUCCCACAUUGAUUGGAGAUAGAGCAUUGAAAGAGUAUAUAUAGAGGGACACUCCUCACCUUACCAACCGGUGUAAGGAUGAGUUAGGUCAAACUCUUAUAUGGUAUCAGAGCCUAUCGACCGGACCAUAGGCCGCCCACCGUUAAUAUCCACGCACCAAGCCCAAAAAGAGUGCUGGGCGUGAGGGGGUGUAUUAGGAAGAUCCUAAAAGUUCCACAUUGGUUGGAGAUAGAGCAUUGAAAGAGUAUAUAUAGAGGGGCACUCCUCACCUUACCAACCGGUUUUGUAAGAAUGAGUUAGGUCAAACUCUAAUAUCUAGUAAAUUCUUUUACUUCUAGUAUUCUUUAAAACCUGAAAGGCAUAUAUUUGUUGAUUUGUUAAUUUUGUGUCUGGUGUUGCUGAUGAACACAUGAUUCCUUUUAGUUUUCUCUCUCAUUUGUUAUUCAAGUUCUUGUAUUUUCAAUCUUUUUUUCCUUGGUGUUGCAGAUGAACACACUUCCUUCUUCCCUCUGAUUUGCUAUUCAAGUUCUUGUAUUAUCAAUCUUUUUCCCUUGACUGCUUUGGUUUCUUGAUAUUGUUGCUUUAUUUGGUUCUUGAUGGUAUUGGUAUUGGAGUUUGUUGUUUGAUUCACCGCUGUUGAUGAGUUGUUUGGGUUUUGAUUGAUUGUUCUUACAAUUAUCUUUGAUUUAAUGCAUAGUUUUUAUGAAUAAUUAUUCAUUUGAUAAUCAAGCAAUAAUUCUUCAAGUAAAAUAGUAUUGAGAAGUGUUUAUCCUUGUUGCAGCAUGUUGGUUUUAAGAUAUCUAACAUUUGGCAAUUCUUAAUGAAGUGGAUAAGAACAAGGGCUACCGAUAUAAAUCAAUUCCUUCAAAGAGUCAUUCUAUAUUAUUUUUAUUUUCAGGCUUUGAUCACAUUACAUACAAAUUGAAUUGUGAACUUGUUUUUCUGCAGUGGUUUGCCAAAAUAAUCUGUAUCUUUCAUUACUGAGUGGAGCCUAUGAAUUUUGAUUUGGUGAUUUCUUUUAAAAUCUCUAGUUUUCAACAAUUGUUAAAUAAUAACUAUCUUUCAAUAGAAUGGAUUGGAGCCUGAGUUUUGAUUUGAAGAUUUCUUUUAAAAUCUUUCUGGUUUUCCAACAAUUCUUUAUCGCCUAUUGAAGCCAUAUUUUUCUUAAUUUUUUAUUUUCUCUGGUGUUGCAGGGAAGGUAAUUUGUGAACACAUGUCCCUUGAUGUUUUGUAUUUGCUUCUGGUAUUGAUUAUAAGCUGAAACGACUCCUUUUUUCUUAUGUAGAGUUGUGUGUUUUGAAACAAUAAAAUCGUGUAGAACAAUUUCCAGGUAUAGUUUUUUUUAUUCUUAUUCCACUUCUUCCUGAUUUAAUCUUUUAUGAUUUCCACUUGGAUAAGUCUUUUGAUUUUGAUGUUUAAUUGAAUAGUUCAGCCUUAGAGGUUCUUACCAUCAAUACUAUUUUUUUUUCUUCCGUAAAAGUGUAUGCUCUAAAUUUAGGUUUUUUAUCUAUAAUUUGACAGGAAAAAAGCUUACACAUUUCUGGUGAGCUUCUUAGUGUUUCAUAGGUUUGAUGUACUUAAAAAGUUUUCCUCUUUCUCAAUCAAAUUGCACCUGUUUAAUUGGGUUAAAAAUGUCCCCUUCAGCCUAUAUUUUUAUUUCACUUUAUACUUAUACAUAGAAAAUGAGAUUCAUCUUCUGAAGUGAAGAAAUCGAAGUUGGUUUUUCUCUCUCUUUAAACUCGUUGGAUGAAGUGGAGAUGUAGAGAUGAGUGUUUCUGAUGCCCUGUACUACAUAUCUGUGAAAGAAUAAAACGGGACACAUGAGCCAUAAUUUUCUGCUGACUGUGUUAGAUAUUUGCUAGGCAUUAAUAUUGUGAUCUCUAUUUAGAUUAUAUAAAUUUUCCAUUCUUAUGUAUUGUUUCAGCAUCCUCGCUUUAGUCAUUUUUAAAUUAUAUGCUCUUUAGUCUAUUUGUAUCAGUUACUUGAGUCUUACUCUGGUUUUGCUGUAACCCCGUCCUUCACAAAUUGAGGAAUAACCCUGCCCUCCCCAGAAUGAGGAAUCUUGGUUAGGUUUUAUUUGCUUUAACUAUCUGUUUGUUGGGGACACUUUGGCAAUGGAUUGAUGAUAUUAUUUUAAUGUUUAUUGUUUCGGUUUAAUUUGUGAUUUAUGACUUGUACUCUUCAAUCAAUAUCCUCUGGUUUUAAGUGGAAGCUUAAAUUUAUAAUGUUUUAGAUUGAGGACAAGAUCUUGCAAAUUGGAUUGACAUCUGUUCCGAAGAACCAGCAUGUUCUGUAGGCUGUGUUGUAUACUUUAAUUUGGUCAUCUCUACCAUGACACUUAACAUUUCAAUUUUUGUUUUGAUUGAUACAAUUAUUUUUCUCAGUUCUUUUGAAUUUUCAAUUUGGUGUUACAAUAUUGAAGCAUACAAGAUUUAUUUUCCAGCUCCGUGAAUGAAGAAUUUUGGGAAGUUUAGUUUGGCGUUGUUAUAAAUUUUGGUGUGCCUUGGCUCUGUUGCAAGCGGAGGUUAACAUUCAAUCUGAUAUCCUUUCAAUCUUUUGGACAAAACUAGUCUUUUUUCACACUUGUAUUUGUUUUGCAAUUGGGAUAUUUGUCCUUUGAUGCUGUAUCCUGGUAGUGUUGGGAGUUUUUGCAUCAAGAGGUGGAAUGUUGAAGCACACAAGGUUUGUCUGCCAACACCAAGGUUGGAGAAUUUCGAAAAGCUUGGUUUAGCGCUGUUUUGUUCUACUGGUUUUCCAUUUCCUUUGUUAUAUUUUUUUCUUAUAAUUUUCUAUUUAUAAGAAUAGGAAUACUUUCUCCCAAAACAUAAUCACUCAGAUUUGGAGUAUAGCUAUGUGGUGGAGUAGAGCCUAUGUAGCACCAGAAUCUACAAUUUUAUUUGGUGUCUCUAUUCCAGUUAUAAGAAAAAUAAAAGUGGUCUAAUUUUAUCAAAUCCUUCAUGAGUUCUCUUCAUAUUGCUUGGUUUUUAUUGAGGAUCUAGUUUCCCGUGGACUUCAUACAGGAAUACAUACAGUGAAGGUUGUGGCAGAGAUUAUCAUGGGCAUGGUUUUACUAUUGUUACAAGGCUGAGAGGCUAUCACUAUACUGUGGGAUUUGAAAGUUAUCGCCAACAUUAUUAAAGACAUGUUUCUAGCCUUUGGAUUUAAUGAGGGUCUUUGUUUUCCCUAGUGUAAUUUGAAAGCCAUCUUUUUCUUGGAUAACUGGUGGGAUGUGUGUCUGCAUUAGCAGCGAGUUGAUGUUUGGAUAUCUCUACUGCUUGGAGAUAAGAGGAAAGUCUAGAUAAAUCAUAUUUCAUCCUUUACUAUCUUCCUUUUUUUCCUUGAUUACUAUGGUCUCUAAGUCUCUCGAUAAUGAGGUUUGUUUUGGUUAUUGAGCUUUGCUCUUAAAUAUAAAUUUUCAAUUCUUUUGGAUUAUUUGUUUAAUUAUCUGAUAUAAUUCUUUGUUCAAUGAUUGAGCUAUGCUCUUUAAAAUAAAAGAAAAUUGAGAGAUAUACAUUUAACCAUUUUGUGGCGAUUGAUAUCUAAAUUAGGCCUCUACAUGAAUUGUGAAUUAUUUUCACUUCUUCAUAUUCUUAUUGCACGACUUCUUGAUUUUCUCCUUAAUGAUUUACACUUGGUUGUUUCAGUUGAGAAAGUUACACUGAUGUAUAAUAGAAAAGUUCAGCCUUAGGGAUUCUUACCAUCAGGGUUAUUUUUAUUUUACAAAUGUUAGUUCUACAUUUCGGUUUUUACUUUGUAUUUUGACAUGGAAUAAGUUUCCAUAACUCCGGAGAAGGUGGGCCUCUCUUUGUUAUGUUAAUUUGAGAAUUGGUGGUUUGAAGAAUUAUGCGAUUAUUCUUUCUUUUUUCUUGGUUCUUUUUCUACAACUCGUUUGUCACAACAUAAUUAUUGUGUUGAUAAGAGUAACUGUUACUUGGGUUUUGAUGUACUACAUGAAGUUGUGGUAACUUGGUGGGCCUCUCUUUGUUUUGUUGAUCUGCGACUUAGGGGUUUGAUGAAUUAUGCUAUUAUUAUUUUUUCUUCUUGGGUCUUUUUCUACGACCCAUUUGUCGCAGUAUAACUUUGUGUAUAUCUAUCACGUGUUGACAGAGUAAAUGUUAUAUGGGUUUUGAUGUACUACAUAAAGAUUCACAAUUAUACUGCUCCUUUUUAAUUCGUCAUCCGAAGUGGAAAAAUUGGAGACAAGUAUUUCUUCCGAUUUGUACUAAUAUCCUUCUAUGGUUGAAUCGACAAGGGCAUGAUAUCUGGAUGUGUAUUUCAAUUUGGUGAUCUCUACUCGUAUUAUGAAUUCUUUACAGUUCAGUAUUUUGUUUCAUCAUACACGUUUGAUUCCUAUCAUUUAGAGCAUACAAGAUUCUAGGGGUAAAUGCAAUGCGCCUUUCUAAAAAUGAGGAAAUUUGGAUAAGUUGGUCAGGUGUGAUGAAAUUCUUUUACAUUUAUACUAACGAUAUCCUCUUCCUUACAAUGGCCUUAGUAAGGGCUUUCUUUGAAUUUACAUAUUUUUUUAUUGGUACUCAGCAAUUACAUAAAUUCGAUCCGUGGAAUUUUCUUGGUGUUGUUAUAGGGGAGAGACGUGAUGAACUUUUGGUGUUCUGUGGCCUGUGUAGCAAGCAGAGGUUAUCAUACUUUAUUUACAAUCUUGGGAUAAAUCCAGUCACUUUCUUACAAUGUUUUUGUUUUGGGAUUAAGGAUACUUGUUCUCUGAUGGUGUGUCCUGGUAGUAGUAUUGGAGUUUGUGGUUUUGUAUCAGGAAUUUGAUCAUUAUAGCAUACAAUAUUGUAGAGUAUAUCUUUAUGCCUGCACUGGAGAUGAGGAAUUCAGAAGGCUUGUUUUUUAGUUCAGUUAGUUGAUUCUUGGGAGAGAAGGAAGAGACAGUCCAUGAAGUUGUGGUGUGCUAUGGGUCACGGCAAGCAGCGGUUAGCGGUUACCAUACUGUCCAACCUUGGGAUAAAAACCGUCACUUUUAUACAUAUUUGUUUAGGGAUGGGGGAUAAAACCCGUCACCUUAGGAAUUCAUGACGUUUGGCGCUCUCUUCUAUUCUGUUGGUUUUCAUCCGCUCUCUUCUAUUCUGUUGGUAUUCAUCUUUCUUUGUUUUUUUAAAUUUAACUGAUUCUUAAGAAUCUCUUUUUUAUUUAUCUGCAGUCUUGGUUACUUCACUCUUCUGUACAGGAGGAAUAGCUUGAUGGAAUCACUUUGUUCCGCUGACGUCGUCUUGGUUUGCAAAAUUACACUUCCCUUUUCCUCCUUUUUUAUUGACAUCUCUGUCACAGUAUGUAAGGAAGAAUAACUUGGUGGAAUUACUUUGUUCUGCUGACCUCCUUCUUAGUUUGCAAAAUUACGCUUGGCCAUUUUCCCCUUUUUUACUAUUGGCAUCUCUGUCACAAUAAUGUAAGGUUCUAUUUUCUCAGCAUAAUGAGCAUGUUUUUCUGUAGAUGGAGAAAUUUGGAAUAACUUUUUGUAAUCAUUUUGUUCCUCUGUCCUGCCACUUGGUUUGGAGAACUACACUUCUAGCUUCAUGUAAGAAAUAGGCGAUCUUCUCUUGAGUUAAUACUUAUCUUUUUUAACCUUAAAGAAUUCUUAGACAUGUAGGUUUGUGCAGUGAUAGUUCAACAUGUCAUGGUUUGGCAUCAUUCUCAAAUAUCAAUUGCUGUCUUCUGAAGUUUGAGAUAUUGAAGAUUUUUCCAGAUCAGGCCGUAACAAAUAUUAUAGAUGAGUGACCUAAUUAUUUGUAUCCCUAGGAGAGGAAUAUAAAUUUUGAAUCUUUGAUAAUGUUUUCUUAUUUUAGUUUUCUGGUUGUUGGUUUUGAUAGAGAAUGUUGCUUGGUGUGGCGUGGUGUGAGAGUUUCGGUGGAGAUUAUAGAUAAUUUUAUGUAACUUGAUGUUAUGUAUUUGUUUUGAACUAAAGAUAAUUCUCUGAUGGUUUGAGUUAGCCUGCAGCUGUUAUCAGUGUUGGAAAAAAUAUAUAUUUUAGAAUUUUGGUCAGCUUCGAUGGACUUGGGGAUGCUUUUCUUUACCCUUUAUUUAUCUGGUGAUGUACAUAGAAUUGAAUCUCUUCUUGUAGGUUGUUAUUUUUUUGUUAUUGCCACAUAUUUCUUAGUGCAUAACAAACACACUGUCUUGACAUCAUUAACAUUGGCUUGACGGUGAUUUCUACUCGGUUAUGUAUCCUUUGUUCUUCGGCUGAUUCUUUGUAUUUUAAUCUCUUGGAAAUUGUAAAUGUAAUGUCAUGCAUUAUCUAAGAACAACCAAGAUUCUAGAAUAUAUCUCUUUGCUUAAACCAGAGUGAAGGACUUCUAUCUUCGUUCCUAUGUAGAUCGCAUCGAGCUUGGUACACACUUUGCUCAGUAGCUAGAAACUGUGUGCUAACUCAUGUUUUUUGUGAGGUGUCUUAAUUACAGUAAUCAUGUAAGCAUUCUAUUCAAGAUGAAAGGUUUUGGAAAGGAGCUAUUACUGUUUAUGUGAUAUUUGUAAGAAUCUCUGCUAAAUUGAGCUCCAUUUACUCGACAUAAUGCUUGAGCAUAUACUAGACAAGAGCCUUGCGUCAUUGUUGGCGAGUUCUUCAUUUAGUUUCUUAUCCUAAAGUGUCGGAUGGUUAUUUGGUAGUGUUAAAGAUGAGUGAUUUAACAGCCUUCUUUAAAAUGUGAAAGUCGUCUUUCCUGAUGCAGAGCCAACUAGUUGAUUAACUAUUAAGCUCUCUGAUUGAUGUGAAUGAAACUGCUAAUUAUUCACAACAAACCAAACCUAUAAUAAGUAAUGAAUUGUAAGAGAUUUUACUAAAAAAUAUAUUCUGAGAAAAUUAAAGUCCAUUGGAUUGGAAGAGAUUUUACUAAAUAGCUAUGACAACUUGAAGAAUGCUUUGAAUGUUAAUCUCUUGUCUGCAAAUUAAUGUUCAAAUUUAUAUAUAGAAGGUCUCUACUUGUGCUCUAACUGUCAUUAGAAUAUAAUACUUCAACCUUAAACCCAUCGUUAUCUUUUCACAUUUACAUGAUUUUAGCAAAACUAGAUCAUGCCUAUGGUAAGAUAGAAAAUAGCUUCAGAUAAAUUGAUUUUGUUUAUCUUGUGUAAGUAGUACUAUGUCAACCUGCUAAAAGUGAUUUAAUUUAUGAGUUAUUUUAUUUCAUGCAAAAAAAUUCAAGGACAUUUAUACUAUGGAAGCUUUGACAGAAUUAUCAAGGACAUUUAUUUUAUUUCAUGCAAAAAAUUUCAAGGACAUUUAUACAAUGGAAAUUUUGACGUAUUUAUCAAGGACAUUUUGCUUUUUAUUUUGCAGGCUAGAGAAGCUAUGAAUGUAUUGUGGUAUUUAAAAGUUGUGGUCGAUAUAUUAUGAAGGAGAUGCUUUAGUUUAAGCCUUUGGUAAUGAGUUAUUUUAUCUCUCUCUCUAUAUAUAUAGAAUGUACUUGUUUUAGGGUUUCCUAUGAUGUUACCUUUGUCACAGAGCCUCAACUUUGAUUUGGUGAUCGCUUGUAAAUUCUUUUACUUUGAGUAUUAUUUAAAUCCUGAAAGGCAUAUAUUUGUUGGUUUGUUAUUUUUGUUUUUGGUGCUGCACACAAUUCCUUAGUUCAUCUUUCUCUUAUUUGUUAUUCAAGUUCUUGUAUUCUCAAUCUUGGUUGCUUUGGUUUCUUGAUAUUGCUGUUUUAUUUGGUUCUGGAUGGUAUCGAUAAUGACCAGUUGUUUGGGUUUUGAUUAAUUGUUCUUACAAUUUCUUUGAUUUUUAUGGACAAUUAUUCAUUUGAUAUUCAAGCAAUACUUUUUAAAGUAAAAUAGUAUUUGAUAUGUGUAACAUGUUGGUUUGUAGAUAUCUCAUUUGUCAAAUCUUAAUAAAGUGGAUAAGAACAAGGGCUACCGAUAUGAAAAUCAAUGAUUUGGUGAUUUCUUUAAAAAAUUUCCUGGUUUUUAUCAAUUAAUAAAUAAGAACUAUCUUACAAGAGUGGAUCCUCUGAACUUUGAUUUGAUGAUUUCUUUUAAAACCUGUCUGGUUAAAUUCAACAAUUCUUUAUCACUAUUGAAACCAUAUUUUUCUUCAUUUUUUAUUUUCUCUGGCGUUGAAGGAAAGGUAAUUUUUUUAACACGUUUAUCUUCUUGUUUUAUUUUCUGUUAUUUGGUAUUCAUGUUUUGUAUUUGCUUUUGGUAUUGAUCGCCAUACAUAUAUAACUGAAAUGACUAUUUUUUUCUUAUGCAGAGUUGUGUGUUUUGAAACUAUAACAUCGUGUAGAAUCAAAUUCCCAGGUUUAUUUUGUUCGGAUUCUUAUUGCACUUCUUCUUGGUUUACUCUUUUAUGAUUUCCACUUGGAUAAGUCUUUUUUUUAUGUUUAAUUGAAUUGUUCAGCCUAGGGGUUCUUACCAUCAAUACUACUUUUUUUUUGCAAAGUGUAUGUUAUAAAUUUGGGUUUUUGAUCUAUAAUUUGACAGUAAAAGAAUUUACACAUUUCUGGUGAGCCUUCUACUCUUCUAGUGUUAUAUGGGUUUGGUGUACUUAAAAAGUUUUCUUCUUUCUCAAUCAAAUUGCACCUGUUUAAUUGGGUUAAAAAUGAGAAUUAUCUUCUGAAGUGAAGAAAUUGAAAAUGGUUUUGUAUGAAGAGGUGGAAUGUUGAAGCCUACAAGAUUUGUGUGCCAACGAAUUUCGAUUUACAUCCCCAACACGUAAACUUCGAACAGAUUGUACAUCAUCACCACAGCUAUCAUCACUGUCAAAAACUUAUCAACUUUGAAAUUCUUCAUCACUAGUCUCAAUUUUCUCACUUUCUUCACCAUCAUCAAAUUCAUCUUCAUCAUCAUCAUUAUCAUAUUCUUACAAUCCUCUUUCGCCAACAAUAUCCUUACUUUGUUUCUCAUUUUUAACAUCAAUGUCGUCAAUCUCACCAGCAUCACCAUUAUCAACAUUUUCUACUUGUUCAACACAAGCCUCAGAAAAUUUCUUAUUAAAAAAUUUCAAUCCCCUCUUGAUCUCCUUCCUCGUCAGUGUCAAUGCAAAUAACAUCAUCAGCAUCACCAUCAACAUUUUCUACUUGUUCAACACAAGCCUCAGAAAAUUAGAAAAUUUCAACCAUUCUUGGGUUCCCCUCAUGUUGUUGCAUCCUGUUUUUUAAAGAAUGGUAAAUAUUAAUACACUAGUAUAUUCCAAAUAACCAAAAGCAAGAGAGAUAGAAGGAGAGAUUUCAUAGUAACAUAUUGGGUAUAUUAUAUAAAACAUGAUUUGAGCUAUAUCAAUUUUAAAUGCAUAGAACAUAGUGGGUAUAUUAUAUAAAACAUGUGGUAUAUUUCUGAGCAUAUUUGGGCUGUGUUUUUUCUCCCAUGACUCAAACCAUUUUUAUCAAUGGAUUCCUUCUUAAUGUCAUGAUCACAAUUAGAGGAUGAACUUCCCAUAUUUUCCUGCACAGCUCCAUUGGUCCCUAAAUUUCCUCAGCUCCAUUGGUCCCUAAAUUUUCUCCAGGAGUAUUCAGCAAGGAGACGCAACUCCUUCGGCAAAAAAACUGUGUUUUUUCUCCUAUGACUCAAACCAUUUUUAUCAAUGGAUUACACUUCUCGCCACUACGGAUGUUAGCUUUACUUUUAAAAUCCUUUCCCUUCCUCUCCGUGCCAACGAAUUUUGAAAAGUUUGGUUUGGUGCUAUUUUUUUCUAUUGGUUUUCCAAUUCCUUUCUUAUAUUUUUUUCCUUAUCAUUUGCUAUUUAUAAGAAUUGGAAUAUUUUAUCCCAAAAUAUUAUCACUCAGACUUGGAGUAUAGCUAUAGGGUAAAGCUUAUGUAGCACCAGCAAUUAUAAAUUCUUCACUUUUCUUUGUCUUAAUUGAAGGUCUAAUUUUUUCAAAUCAUCCAUGAGUCUCUUCACAUUGCUCUAGUUUGAAGAAUUAUGCGAUUAAAUAUUCCAAUUCUCUACACUUUUCUUUCUUCUUGGUUCUUUUUCUGCAACUCAUUUUCACAGCAUAACAUUUUGUAUAUAUAUCAAUUAUGCGAUUAAGAAUUAUGCGAUUAAAUAUUCCAAUUCUGUAUAUAGUAACAGUUACAUGGGUUUUGAAGUACUACAUGAAGUUGGGCCAGCUUGGUGGGCAUCUCUUUGUUUUUUUUAUAUGCGAUUUGGUGGUUUGCUUAAUUAUACGAUUAUUCUUUCUUUUUUCUUGGUUCUUUUUCUAAAACUCAUUUGUCACAGCAUAAUUUUUUGUAUAUCUAUAUGUGUUGACAGAGUAAGUGUUACAUGGGUUUGAUGUACUACGUAAAGAUUCAUAAAUAUACUGCUACCUUUUAAUUUGUCAUCUGUAACAGAAAAAUCAAAGAUGAGUAUUUCUUCCGAUUUGUACAAGUCUCCUUUUGUGAUCAAAUAAAAAAGACAUGUGAACCAUAAUGAUAUGUGGAUGUGUGUUUUAAUUUGGCUAUCUUUACUCAAAUUAUGAAUUUUUUACUAUUCAGUAUUUUGUUAUAUCAUACACACUUGAUCCCUAUCAUCUUUGGGAUAAAAUACGCAUUUUUCUGUAACAGGCAAUUCUUCCUGUUGUGUUUCUAUAUUCGUAACAUGAAUUUUACUCUGGUUUAGAGCAUACAAGAUUUCGGGGCAACUCCGCCCUUUCAAAAAUGAGGUAUUUUGGAUAAGUUGGUUAGGUAAGAUGAUAUUCUGUUACAUUUAUAUUCUGAAAAUGAUAUACUCUUCAUUACAUUUGCCUCAGGGCUCCUCUGUAUUCAGGUGGAAGCUUAAAUUGUGAUGUUUCUUAUUGAGGACAAGAUCUUGUAAAUUUGAUGGAAAUGAAUCAUCAUGUUUUGCAAACUGUGUUGUCAUGCUUUAAUUUUGUCAACUCUCUACUAAGAAAGACACUUCAUAUUUCCGUCAUUUUUAUUGUUACUCAAUAAUUACAUAAAUCCGAUCCUUUGAAUUUUCUUGGUGGGUUUUAUAGGGGAGAGACAGGAUGAAUUUGUAGUGUUCUGUGGCCUGUGGCAAGCAGAGCUUAUCAUAUUGUCCUUUAAAUUUUGGGAGGACCAGAGGAAAAGACAACACCAUUGUCGGCAAGAUCGCUAAUAGAGCGGCAGCUUCCGUUAGAGUUGCUAAGGCAGAGGCUUCUCAGAACGGGAUGGACAUGCUACAACUGGUUUUCACCGGAAACUGAUGGCUGAACAGGUGCAGCGGUAAUUUUGUGCACCCCGACGUGGAGCUGCUAGAGUUUCUAAUGCUGUCGAGGAGUCUGCUUCUGUGGAGGAGGUACAGGCUGAGUAUGUUUCUAUUGCUAUUGAGGAGGUAUAGGUUCCUGUUGCUGUAGAUGAGGUACCUGUUGCGGCUGAGCAGCUGAGCAGGUUCCUGUUGUCGAUGAAGAUGAUACUCCUACAGAUACAAAGGCCACGACUUGUGCAUCUAUAAAGGUAUUUGUUCACACAGAUGGAGCUAUCUCGGUAGGAUAUAGUGAUCGAUCUAGUGAUCGUUCUGUGCUCACAAAGUAAGUUGACCAUGUUACAUACAGAGGGUAUGGCAGGGAGAGGUAUUUAUCUUAUAUUUUUUAUUUGCAAAAUAUUUAAUAUGGUUUGGUGAUGUGUUGAAAGUUAACUGAUAAUUUUUUAACUUUGUUUCCUACACGAACGUCCAUCGCUGAAGGUUGUAUCUCAUUGGUUGAAGUUGAAGAACUUCCCCCCGAGUCCAAUGCCUGCGUGAGUUAGGCGUAUUGUUUUUUAUUUCAGUCUGUUGGAAUUCGCCGAUUGCUCAUUAACAAUGUUCAACGCCUUCCUUUUGUCAUCAGAUACUAUAUUAUUUUGAUUUGUUGCGUUCUCCAACCUAGUUUAGAUUUGGUGAUCUCUAUUAAAUUAUUUUUUAUGAAUUUAAAUGUCAACGUAAUAAUGCUCUCAUCAGUUGCUAUAUUAUUUUGAUCUUCAAGUUUGGUGUUCUUAUUAUUUUGGUUUCUUCCUUUUAUGGUCUCAUUUGGUUGGUGUGGUUUCAAUCUUGGAGUAUGCCCUUUUAUUUUAAUGAUUUGCUACUAUAUUGAGUUCUUCAAAUAUUCUUCGUUUGAUCAUGUUUUCGUUUGUUGGCAGUAUGGUGGAGUUCUGAUGUGAAGUUUCUGCUUUUAAGGUGUUGCCAAUAGAGUAUCAAACAUUGGUUAUGUUUUGCAAACUUCAUACAUUUACAUUUUGUUCUAUUGGUUUUCCAUUUCCUUUGUUAUAUAUUUUUCUUGUAAUUUGCUUCUCUACUGAUAUGUAUUCAAUUGCUUACAUCACACCGUUUACUGAAUAACGUCUGACUACAACUUAACGUCCGACUACAACUCAAAUGAGUUCUUAUUUUCUCCUAAAACAUUUCUAUUCUAGUUAUAAGUUCUUCACUUUUAUUUUUCUUAAUUGAAGGUCUAAUUUACAUGAACUGUGAAUUAUUUUCAUUUCUUCUAGUUCUUAUGGCACGACUUCUUGAUUUACUCCUUAAUGAUUUGCACUUGGUCGUUUAAGUUGAGAAAGUUUUCUAUUGAUGUUUAGUUGAAAAGUUCAUCCUUAGGGGUUCUUACCAUCAGUAUUACUUUAUUUUACAAAUGUUAGUUCAACAUUAGGGUAUUUAAUCUAUAUUGUGACAGGGAAUAUGUUUUCAUAAUUCCGAAAAAGAUGGGGCAGCUUGGCGGGCCUCUCUUAGUCUCUUUGUUAUUCUGAUCUGCAAUUUAGUGGUUUGAAGAAUUAUGCGAGAAGAAUUAUGCGAUUAUUCUUUCUUUCUUCUUGGUUCUUUACGACUCAUUUGUCACUGCAUAAUUUUUUGUAUAUAUAUCAUGUGUUGAUAGAGUAAAUGUUACAUGGGUUUGAUGUACAGUACUACAUAAAGAUUCAUAAUCAUACUACUACUUUUCAAUUCGUCAUCCGAAGCGGAAAAAUUGGAGACGAGUAUUUCUUCUGCUUUCUGUUAUCCUCUUGUGAUCGAAUCAACAAGGACACGUGAACCAUAAUGAUAUGUGGAUGUGCGUUCUAAUUUGGUGAUCUCUACUCAAAUUAUGAAUUAUAUAGAGUUCAGUAUUUUGUUUCACGAUACACGUUUGAUUCAUAUCAUCUUUGGGAUAAAAUUAUGCAUUUUUCUAUACUACGCAAUUCUUCCAGUUGUGUUUCUGUAUUCGUAACAUAAAUUUUACUCUGGUUUAGAGCAUGCAAGAUUCUGGGGUAACUUAGCCCUUCAAAAAAAAUGAGGAAUUUUUAUAAGUUUGUUUGGUAAGAUGAUAUUCUUUUACAUUGAUACUAAAAUGAUAGCCUCUUCAUUACACUGGUCUAAGGGCUCUUCUGUAUUGAGUGGAAGCUUAAAUUGUGAUGUUUCAUAUUGAGUACAAGAUUUUGUAGAUUGGAUGGAAAUGAACCAUCAUGUUUUUCAAACAGUAUUGUUACGCUUUAAUUUGAUCUGCUCUCUACUAAGAAAGACACUUCAUAUUUUUGUCUUUUUUAUUGAUACUCAGUAACUACAUAAAUAUGAUCCUUUGAAUUUUCUUGGUGGGUGUUAUAGGGGAGUUACAUGAUGAAUAUGUAGUGUUCUAUUCUAUGGCUUGUAGCAAGCAAAGGAUACUUUCCUUUCAACCUUGGGAUAAAUUCAGUCAAUUUCUUACAACGUGUUAGUUUUGGAUUGAAGAAACUUGUUCUCUGAUUGUGUGUCAUGGUAGUGUCGUAAUUUGUGUUUUUGUAUCAGGAAUUGGAACGUUGGAGCAUACAAUAUUCUAGAGUAUGUCUUUAUGCCUGCACUGAAGAUGAGGAAUUCGGGAGGCUUGCUUUUUGGUUCUGUUAGUUUUCAUCUUUCUUUGUUCUAUCAUUGAUUUUUAAGUUUAAUUGAUCCUUUGGAGACAAGGGAGAGACAUUUCAUGAAUUUGGGGUGUGCUAUGGACUAUAGCAAGCAGAGGUUACCAUACUGUCCAUUAAACCUUGGGAUAAAACCUGUCACUUUUUUACAUAUUUGUUUUGGGAUUGGGGAUAUUUGUCCUUCGAUGGUGUGUCCUAGUGGUAUUGAAGUUUGUGUUUUUGUGUCAGGACUGUACUAAAGAUGAGGAAUUCGGGAGGCUUGGCGCUCUUCUAAUCUGUUAGUUUUCACCUUUCUUUGUUCUGUUGGUUUUUAUUUUUCUUUGUUCUAUCCUUUGUUUUUUAAGUUUAGUUGAUUCUUAAGAAUCAAUAUUUAAUUCAUGUGCAUUCUUGGUUACUUCUCUUCUGGACAGUAUUCAGCUUGGUGGAAUCACUUUGUUCUGCUGACUUCAUGUUGGUUUCAAAAUUACACUUCCCGUUUCCUCCUUUUUUGUGAGGUAUCUUCUUAAUUAGUAAUCAUGCACAUGUUUGUUCAUUGUGAUUUCUUUGUGCUUACUUAUAGUGAUAAUUGCAAAAUAUAUGGUCUGUGGAAGCUUUGGGGUUCAUGUAAGCAUUCUAUUGAAGAUGAAAGAUUUUGGAUAGGUCAUUGUUUCAUGAUUUCAUCAGGAGCUAUUAAUGUUUAUGUGAUAUUUGUGAGGUUCUCCUCUGCUAAGUUGAGCUCCAUUUAGUAGACGGCGUUACGCUUGAGCACAUAUUAGGCAAGAGCCUUGCGUCAUGGUUGACCUAGUUCUUCAUUAGAGUGUUAACUGAUGCUUAUUUGGUAGUGUAAAAGACGCGUGAUUCAACAGUCUGAUUCAGCAACCAUCUUUUAAAUGCUACUGUUCUCGUCUGCUUGAGAUACCUUCCCGGAUGCAAAGCCAACUGAUUGAUUAAUCAUUGAGCUUUCUAUUGAUGCGAAUGAAGCUGCUCAAUAUUCACAACAGACCGGACCUACAAUAAGCAAUUAAUGGUAAGAGAUUUUACUAAAUAGCUACGAAAACUUGAAGAAUGCUUUGAAUGUUAAACUCUCAUCUGCAAAUUAAAAUUUAACUUUGUUGUGAAAAACGAUACCAAUAACAAAGUAUAAUAGGGAAUUAGAGAGGAUAAGAAGAACACAAGAAUUGGUUAUAACUGCUAUUCAUUCACUUUCUCUUAAAACAAGAUUACAAGUUUACAAGAAUAACAAAUAACCUCUCUCACCCUAAAUUAGGAUUUGCAGCUUAGCAAUGAUGAGAGACUAGUAUGCUAUUUAUAAUAAAACCUAACAUACUAACUAAUGGGCUUUUUCAGCAAGGUCCAUUACACAAGCCAACUUAAUAAACAAGCUAACUUAACAAAUUAGGGUUUAAACAUCUAAAACCUAAUUUAACAUGCUAACAACCCUAGCAUCUUCGACAUCUGCAUGCUAGACCCAUCUUCGACUACAGCAUGCACACUUCGACAGCAGCAUGUGAACAAUCCUUCGACUUCAUGCUUAAUUCUGUCGAACCAAGAAGCUACCCUUCGACAAUACUAGAGUUCGAUCCAAUAUCUCACAAAUCUCCACCUUGGACCUAACUCUACAACGUCAAGGAACAAACUAGCUUUCUUCAUGCAGCUUUAUCAACUGCAUACAGUGGAAAAACUUGCAACUCGGCAAUGUCUUGGUGAUCAUAUCAGCAGCAUUGUCUUCAGUCGAAACCUUCAGCACUUUGACUUCUCAACGCUCGAUUACUCCUCUGACGAAAUGCAGCCUCACAUCAAUGUGCUUAGUCUGCUCAUGAUAGGCUGAAUUCUUCGACAGGUGUAUUGCACUUUGACUAUCACAUUUAACAGUGAUACCUCGACCUUGAAGUUUUAGCUCCUUCGCAAAACCUUCAAGCCACAAUGCUUCUUUCACAGCUUCAGUUAGGGAAAUAUACUCCGCUUCAGUGGUUGAUAGAGCAACAACCUUCUGAAGUGUUGCUUUCCAACUAAUUGCAGUGCCAAACAUAGUGAAAAUAUAUUCAGAAAUAGAUUUUCUGGAAUCCAUACAACCUGCAUAAUCAGAGUCGACAUAUCCUUCUAUUACUGCUUUACUAUCUUCACCCAAGGCUCCACCAUAAAUUAGGACUCUAUUCAGAGACCCAUUUAUGUACCUUAAAAUCCACUUCAAUGCUUGCCAGUGAGUCUUUCCAGGAUUCUCCAUGUACCUGCUUACAAGACUUACUGCGUAAGCUCUGUCGGGUCUAGUACAAACUAUAGCAUACAUCAAAGAACCAACUAUAUUAGCAUACGGAAUGCUAUUCAUAUAGGCUCUUUCGACAUCAGUACUGCGACACUGAUCAAUACUCAGCUUGAAUUGAGGGUUUGUUGGAGUCACAACUGGCUUCGAAUUCGACAUACCAAACUUUUCAAGAAUCUUCCGUAGAUAUGCCUUUUGAGAUAAGCAUAACUUCGACUUCUUUUUAUCUCUUCGAAUGUCAAUUCCAAGAAUCCUGGAAGCAGCUCCCAGAUCCUUCAUAUCGAACUCCUUAUUGAGUUCAGCCUUCACCCUCGUCACAUCUUCAACAUUGUUGCUUGCUAUGAGAAUAUCAUCCACAUAAAGCAACAAAAUAACAAAUGAAUUACCAGAUCGAAAUCUGAAGUAAACGCAGUGGUCGAACUGACUUCUAAUGAAACUUAUGCGUGCCAUGAACUUGUCGAAUCUCCUAUUCCACUGUCGAGGAGAUUGUUUCAGCCCAUACAAAGAUCUCUUUAACUUGCACACAUAAUCUUUCUUCCCCUUUUCGACAUACCCUUUAGGUUGCCUCAUCAGGAUCGUUUCAUCUAGAUCACCAUACAAGAACGCAGUCUUCAUCCAUCUGUUCCAGUUCAAGAUCGAACUGUGCCACCAUGGCAAGCAACAUUCGAAUGGACCUAUGCUUCACAACAGGAGAAAACACAUCAUUGAAGUCGACACCUUCUUUCUGAGUGAAAUCCCUUGCAACUAACCUUGCCUUGUAUCUUUUCGACGUCACUCCUUCAAUUCCUUCCUUAACUUUGAAAAUCCAUUUACAGCUGACUAACCUUGCCCCAACAGGUUUCUUGAUCAGUUCCCAAGUAUGAUUAUCAUGAAGAUAUUUCAUCUCAUCAUCCAUGGCCUUCAGCCAUUCAGUCUUAUUUCGACUCCUGAUAACUUCCUUAUAGUCUCUAGGUUCUUCGUCUAGAACCUCACUUGCAGAGAUUAAGGCAUAAGCUAUAAGAUCUGCAUAUCCAAGUCUCUGAGGUGGCUUGGUGACUCUUCUCGACCUAUCUCUCGACAAUAGGUAGUCAUCGUCAGUUUCCUCAACUUCAGCAUCUUCUGCUUCUUCUUCAUCUGGGAUAUGCAAUUCAGCAUCAACAUGCUCCACCUCAACAGGAAUCUCUACCUGUUCCAUCUCUUCGUCAGAUGUUUCUGUACUUCGACCAACAUCAUCAGUUUUCUUAAAAGCCAUUUCAGCUUCAUUGAAAACUACAUCUCGACUGGUGAUACACCUCCUGUGACCUGGCUCUAGGCACCAUAGCCUAUAAGCUUUGACUCCUUCAGGGUAUCCCAUGAACAUGCAUUUCAGAGCUCUAUGUUCGACCUUGUCUUGCCUAAUGUGAGUAUAGGCUACGCAGCCAAAUACUCUCAGUUUGUCGAGAUCUGGUGGAUGUCCCGAUCAAACUUCUUCAGGUGUCUUCAUAUCUAACGCUGUCGAAGGACAUCUGUUUAUCAGAUAUGUUGCUGUCGAAACAACCUCAGCCCAGAACACCUUUGUUAACCCCGCACUAGUCAAUAUGCAUCUGACUCUCUCCAAAAUAGUUCGAUUAAAUCUUUCAGCCAAACCAUUUUGCUGUGGAGUACCUGCAGUAGUUCUAUGCCUUGCAAUACCAGAGGCAGCACAAAAACUGUCGAAUGCCUCAUUGCAAAAUUCAAGGCCAUUGUCGGUUCUCAACCUCUUGACCUUUCUGCCAGUCUGAUUUUCAACCAGAGUCUUCCAACUUUUGAAAUUCUCAAAAGUUUCAUCCUUAGUCUUCUGGAUGAAUACCCAUAAUUUUCUGGAAUAAUCAUCUACUAUGGAUAGAAAAUACCUUGCUCUUGAAUGUGAUGGACACCUUGCAGGCCCCCAAAGAUCAACAUGGAUGUAAUCAAGGGAUCCAUGUGUUCUUUGUUUGCCUUUGUUGAACUUCACUCUGCAAGAUUUUCCAAGUACACAGGGUUCACAAAACUUCAGCUUUUCGACUUUGUCUCCACCAAGCAGAUUUUGUUUCCCUAAUUCGACCAGACCCCUUUCACUGACAUGGCCCAAUCUCAUGUGCCAGAUUUCUGUCUUCGACAAAGGUUUCGUGGAUACAACAUUUGUCGAACCACUUACAACUUCAGCCUCAAGGGUAUACAAGUCUUGUUUCUUCACGCCUCUCAAGACUUCCUUCGAACCCUUCAUGACUCUUAGGAUACUUUUCUCUCCUUGGAAAACAUAUCCUUUCUUGUCGAAUUCACCAAGAGAAAGCAGAUUUCUCUUCAAAUCAGGAACAUAGCUGACUUCAGUCAACAACCUUAUUGACUCAUCAUGGAGCUUGAAUCUCACAGAUCCAACACCUGCAAUCUUGCAAGCCUUGUUGUUUCCCAACAAUACUGAUCCACCAUCUUGAUCACAUAAUUUCUCGAACAAGUCUUUGUUUGGAGUCAUGUGUCAAGUGCAACCUGAAUCCAUAAUCCACUCCUUCUUAGAGUCACUGCUUGAAACCACAAGAACAUCAGAUGAUUCGAAAUCAUCUUGAACAAUGGCAGUGUUGCCAUUAUCCUUACCUCCAUGAUAUUUCGGGCGUUCAGGGCACACCUUUCUUGUGUGACCCUCCUUCUUACAAUGGUAGCAGCGAAUGCCAGAUGCUUCGCCACCGUAAGACUUCGACUGGCUUUUGCCUUUCUUCUUGUCAAACUUACCAUCCUUUCGUAAGAGUUUUCCUUUAACGGCCAAACCUUCGCCAACAGUCGAAGGUUUAUGCUCCUUUCGUUCAUUCAAGUCCUUAGAGUACAAGGCUGAUUGAACUUCUUCAAACGUCAGGGACUCCCUUCCAUACAAGAGAGUUUCUUUGAAGUGAGCAUGUGAUCGAGGCAAAGAACACAAUAGUAACAGCGCUUGAUCUUCAUCAUCGAUCUUCACAUCAAUAUUUUCAAGAUCAAGAAUCAGCUUGUUGAACAUAUCCAACUGCUCAGCCAACACUUUGUCUUCAAUCAUCUUGAAUGAAUACAAAGCUUGCUUCAGGUAGAGUCGAUUUACCAGCGAUUUGGUCAUAUACAAACUUUCAAGUUUCACCCAUAACCCUGAUGCCGUCGUCUUCUUUGAUACCUGCCGGAGAACCUUAUCACCAAGGCUCAACAAAAUUGCGCUGUGUGCUUUCUCGAUCAUAUUCGUCUUCUCCGCUGCCGUCAAUUCUGCAUUCAUGGCUGCCUCUCCCUUCAACGCUUCCAAACAACCCUGCUGAACCAGUAGGGCUUUCAUCUUCAAGCGCCACAGACCGAAAUCAUUCACUCUGGUGAACUUUUCAAUCUCAUACUUUGUUGAAGGCAUCUUCUCCACGCUCACCGCACCAAUUUGUUGUGAAAAACGAUACCAAUAACAAAGUAUAAUAGGGAAUUAGAGAGGAUAAGAAGAACACAAGAAUUGGUUAUAACUGCUAUUCUUUCACUUUCUCUUAAAACAAGAUUACAAGUUUACAAGAAUAACAAAUAACCUCUCUCCCCCUAAAUUAGGAUUUGCAGCUUAGCAAUGAUGAGAGACUAGUAUGCUAUUUAUAAUAAAACCUAACAUACUAACUAAUGGGCUUUUUCAGCAAGGCCCAUUACACAAGCCAACUUAAUAAAUAAGCUAACUUAACAAAUUAGGGUUUAAACAUCUAAAACCUAAUUUAACAUGCUAACAACCCUAGCAUCUUCGACAUCUGCAUGCUAGACCCAUCUUCGACUACAGCAUGCACACUUCGACACCAGCAUGUGAACAAUCCUUCGACUUCAUGCUUAACUCUGUCGAACCGUCGAACCAAGAAGCUACCCUUCGACAAUACUAGAGUUCGAUUCAAUAUCUCACAAACUUCAUAGCAGUUCUCUACCUGAGCUCUAACGGUCAUUUAAAACAUGUGUAUAAAUAUUUCAACUUUAAACCCAUCAUUACCUUUUCACAUUCUCAAAAGAUUUUACCAAAAUAUACAAGCACUAAUGUGCGCAACAUAUAGUUGCAAUAAGAAUAAAAAUUAAUACAAUCGAAAGUAAAAAGUAAUUUGAAUUAUUUGAUUUGGAUUCUGUAUCUAUAACAUUUUUUAUUUAGAGGUCUAUGGUAAGAAUAUAUAAUAGCUUCGGAUAAAAUAAUUUUUGUUUAUCUUAUGUGAAAGUAGUAUUACUGAUUUAAUUUUAUGAGUUAUUUUAUUUCAUGCAAUUUUUUUAUUUUGUUUUAUAAAAUUAUUUGUGAGGUAUAUAAAGUGAGAGACGAGAGAAUUCAACAUUCUCUCCUCUAUUUUGUUCUCUUAUACAAGCUGAAAGUUAAGUUCUCUCUCUAAAAAGAAGGAAACCUAGUUAUAGAGUGAUAGACAAGAGAAUUCAACAUUAUCUUCCCUCCUUUUUUGCAUUCUAGCACAUCAAAAGGAGCGUUAUAAGCUUUAAUUUAAGGUAAGUUUUCCUCACUCAUUCCUCAUUACUCGCAUUAAUUUUUAGUUUGAGCAGAAAGAAAGAACAUGUUGCUUAAGAAAUGUACUUUCGAAUUGAACUCACCUACAUUUUUUCGAAAAUGUUAUUUCGAACUCAUCUAUUACUGGUUUUAAAAAUUAUGUUGUUUUGCUUUUUAUUAGAUAUGGUUCACCCAGAUAUGUUUUUUAAAGUAGUUGUAUGUGACGAUGUAAAACAUGAUGUAGCGAAGGUAAAUGUUAAACUAGUUGAAGUUAAGGAGGAUAUUAAACUGAAAAAAGUAAAACAUAUUGUUAAAGUGAUAUAAAUAGAUAUUGGUCAAUGUUUCAUAAAUGAACAAUUGUAUAUUACUCGCUAACAUAUGCUUCAAUGGGUCCGCAUGAUAACCAUGAAUUUGGGGUUUUGCAUUGUAAUUGAAAAGCUUGAUAAUGGUUCUAAUAUAAGACAAAUAUUUGUAACCAUGAUAUAUAAUAUGCGAGAGAAGUGGGACAUAUAUUCUCCCAGUUCGAAAGUUGAAACAUGAUGAUACUAGAACGAGAAAGAGUGGUUGUCUGUUUAAGCUGCGCGGAUAUUGUAGCAUCGAUGGGAUGUGAAAAUUUAAUGUGCUUUUUGGAAUACAUAAUGAAUUACAAACAAAGUUAACCGGUCGUCCCAUUGUAUGUCGUUUUAAAUCGAAGGAGAAGGAAAUUGUUUCAAACACGUCUUUAAUCAGAGUGGCGUCUAAAAACAUACUUGUAGAUUUAAAACAGAAACACAAGCAGGUAUACAAUCAGCAUUAUAGAAACAUGGCGAUAGGGGUCUAAGAUUCAAAAUUCAAAAUGCAACUUUUGAAAUUUUGGAUGAAUACUACUAUGUUUUUAGGUACGGAGUAUGUGAUGAUAAAGUUAAUGUUCAUCGCAUUUUUUGGACUCAUCUCGGAAGAAUCAAGUUGAUUAACACAUUUCUUAUUGUCAUCAUUAUUGAAUAUUGAUGCAACGUACAAGACCAACAAGUAUAUGUUUUUGUUUUUUGAAAUUAUUGGUGUUACUUCUAUGAAGGAGAUUUUUUCAGUGAGAUUUACAUUUUUGAAAUUCAAAAAAGAGGCCAACGUUACAUGGGCCUUGGAGGUGUGCAAGACUUUGUUGGAGGAUCAAGAAAAUAUGUCGAAGCUAAUUGUCACCGAUUAAGACAUUGCACUAAUGAAUUUGGUUGCAAAGGUGUUUCUUACUUUCUACGCAUUACUUUUUCAAAAUCACAUUACAAAAAAUGUGAGGAGUCAGCUAAAACCUAAUGUAGGCACCAAAUAAAUCAAGGGUGCAUAUUGGAAAAAUGGUCAAAGCAAGUACGGUGGCAGAAAAGAUUAUGGGUGCAUGGUCUGAUAUAUUAAAUUCAUCCAUGGAAGAAUUGUAUGUUGCUUUCGAAGUGCAAUUUAGUAGCAUGUGUGUCUGAUAUCCAGAUUUUAAAAAUACGUUAAGAGUAGUAUUCUGGACUAAGUGAAGGAAAAGAAUGUUUGUGCAUGAACCGAUCAGGUUAGACACCUCGAUACUAUAACGAUUUACAAACUUGAAUCAGGGCAUGCGACGUAGAAGAAAUGGUUGGGUGAUAGUAAGGGUGAUUUCUAUAAAGAUUGGGAUGGUGUGAAUCAUAUUCUUCAAAACCAGCAUUAAAAAAUUCAAACCACUUGUAGUCGAGGCAUAACGGUGCAAGAACAUGGAUUCAAAGACAAUAUUAUCUAUUUACAAUUGGUUGGAUGUGUAUCUUGGUCGGCGUUGAAUUUCAUAUUUCACGAAGCGAAGCUAGCUGAAUAGACAGGUACAGAUUUAGCAAAGUACACUUGUUCAAUUCAAAGUGCAUGUGUUCCUUGUCGUAGUAGUAAGGCACCGUUUUUAAAUGGAUGUCCUGAAAUAGGCCACCUGAUAACAAGUAUGUAUGUCAGAGUGUGUAUCAAUCUGAUAAGACAUGAGUUAUUGGAGAUAUUUUUUCUAUUACGCAGUAGUCCAUCUUAAAACAAUAAUGGACGCAUCAUAUACAUAUGGUUUCUUUUAAAGGGUUUAUACUUUGUUUAGGUUUAUUUUGAAACCUGGGUGUCCAAUCUCUAUUACAUUGAUCGAGUGGACGACGCAUUCAACAAUUGAGGUGGAAAUUUGGCUGGUAGAGUUCACAAAACUCAUGAAGUUUGAAAGAGAAUCAAAUAAGAAAGAGUCGAAGGCAGGACCAAUUGUAGAUUUAUGCGGUACUGGAUCUUUUGAUGCAUUUUGGAUUGUAAUCAAUACAUCUUUUGUAUUAUUAAUUUUGAAAUAAUAUAAUACAUAUUAAUUUUAUGGUUUUCUUUUUGUUUACGAUGCAUGUGCAUAUUUAUAAAGAUUUUGGAUUUUUUUCUAGUUCAGUGAAGUUUUUAGAAAUGUGACCCUGAAGUCACCCUUUUUAUAACUAAACGUGUGAUUUACUCAGACAUGUGACUCCGAACUCACAAUUUUUAUAUUUUUUUUGCAUAUGCCUUUUCAAAUUUUUAUCUGAUACAUGAUAAGAAUUUUGUGGUCCAAAGUUACCCAAUACUUGUAUAAAUAUGGUGUGUCUCAACCUUGCUGCAUUAAAACACUAAAACCAGAGAAAAUGACUUCUUAUCUCCACCUUGUAUUUGUGUAUUUCAAUAGUUAGAAACCACCUCUUCUGUUUAGGGUCACUGAGGAAACAUCACUUGCAUAUCUGAUAUCCAAACUGAAUAUUCUGCUACGCUUUUUAAAAAAUUGCAGAGUUGUCAAGCUCGAGUAUCGCUCACCAUUUGACAACGAAGAGAAUAUUCAUUUCACCAACAUUUAACUGAAGACGAGUGAAGAUGUAAAGGUUAUAUAGAGUAUUUUCUCCGUUAUGAAUCAAAGGGUCUUAUUGAAGUGGAUGCGAAGAUUCAAAGAUCCGUCGAGGAUAUAAUAUUAUGUUGCGACUUUCCAAUGAAAUAGUUAUUUGAUGUGAAUUUUAUUUCGUGAUUAUCUAUGUAAUGAAAUGUUGGUGUUGGUAUGUUUUUUAUUUUAAAGUCAUGUUUCCAUUUAUGCUUGUUUGGUUGAGUUCUGGAAGAAGGUCUUGCUCGGAGAUGCAUCUCUAAACAUCAUUAAAAUUACUUACGAGAUGCAUCUCCGAUUUUGUUGUGAAAAAAUGGUUUUUGGUGUGUCCGGAUAUUAGGGAAGACAAAUGGACAUGCCCGGCCCAUUUAGGUCCGUCCCACAAAAGCCGCAAAAAAUGGGUCGAGACAGGCCUAGUUAAGGGUGCGAGCCUAAAACCUUGAUCUGUCCCAUAAAAAAGUGAGGGUGAGACAAACUAAGCCCGCGGGCACUAUACCUUUUAACUUUUAAGCCUCAAAGUAAAAAAAAUUAUUUUAAUUUUUAUGCCCGCAUAAAAAACGGGUGGGGCUGUGUCAUUAAAGGGUGAGGGUAUAAGACUUUGACCCGCCCUGCACUAAAGUGUGGGCAAUACGAAUAUGUCCAAUGGGUCGGACCCGUUUUGUCACCCCUAUCAAAGAUCCAUCUCUGAAAAUUGAGACAUUUUAAGAAUUUUGCAUAGAACCUGGGAAAUGUAUAAGGGUAGGAUGAAAAUUUGUCUAGAGAUAUGGCUUGUGUUUUGUUUAUAGGUGGGGGCGAUUCUCAUCGUACUAUCCGAUUUUGUAGGGAUGAGUUAAGUCCAACUCAAAUUUUGAGAUGGUAUCAAAGCAUAUCCUAAAUAUAUUGUUAGACUUUCCACAUCGUCCAUGCUUCAGACUCAUUAGCAUGUAAUAUUAUAGUAUGUGUAUAUUUUUACAACAUCAAGAUUGUAACAUAUUUAGAAAUUACAUUCAUUCACAAAAGCUCCAUCAAAUUCUCUUCUUUUUUUUUUUUUGCUCUUAUGCUUUGUUUGAUUCUUACAAGAAAUUGUGAAGAGAGAAAUAGGUAAGAGAGAGUAAGGGAAGAGAGAAAUUGAUAAGAAAUAAAGUAGAUUUAAGUUAUUGUUUGGUAGAAUAGAAAGAAAGGUGAAAUAGAGAAGAGGGAAGUAGAAUAAUUUAUGAAUUUACAAAAAUACUUUAUCAAGAAUUAAUUAAACAGUUGAUUGAUUUAUUGGACACUUCUUAAAUAUUUACUAUAUUCAUUGGUAAAUUUAAAAUUUUAUUAUAUUUUAAUAUAAAUUAAUUAAUUAAACCACCAGCUCUUUUAUUCACUUUAUUUCCUUUUAUGUUAUUAUUCCAAAAGGUGAAUUCUUAUCUACCCAACUCAAAAAGGUAGGUAAAGUUACCUUCUGUGUAAAAUGUCUUGAAAACAACAAUCAAUUGUAAUAUUUAAUAAAUAAUUAAUUGUGUUAAAAUUAGAUGGCAUUAUAUAAUUGGUCGAAUGUACAUUACCCAACUUUUUGUGAUGGGUAGAGAAGUUGUCCCCUUCCAAAAAUGUAUUAUUCAUUCUCCAACUGUUGCCAACUUCACCUUAGUAAUACAAAAUUUUAUUUAAAAAAUUUAAUUGUUACUAUUGUUAGUAGUAUUAUAUAAAUAAAAAUAAAUGUAGCACUAAAGUGUCAGUGUGAAAGUGUGAAAGAAUGACAAUAAAGUUUUGUAGUUAAAAAACAAAGGACAAAUAUGGAAAGGACAAAUAAAAGAGUGGUUUAUGCUACUUUCUUUGCAAAUUUUCGGAGAAACAAAAAGGUGGUAGGAACCACCAUAAUCUAUUCUCUCUUCUGUGUUUCAUAGCAGGAGAAGCUGCAAUUUCUCGCCCCUCUCUCUUCGCUACCCUCUCUCUUCUGCAUUUCCCUUAAACCAAACACACUGUUAGCUAGUGUUUAUUGGUUUGAGUUUAAUAUAUAAAUAUUAAUUUUUUAAAAUAGAUAAAAUUUAAAUGAUAAUAGUUUGAUUCAAUUAUGUAUUUAUAGAUUUUAAAGUUAUUUAUGAUUAUUUAAAAAAUCAUUGAAUCCCAAAAGAUAAAAAGAACUAUUUAAAAAAUGUAGAUGGUUUUAAAAGAUAAACACCAAUUUUCUAAAGCAAAAUUAAAAAAUUAAAAUUUUAAGAAUAAAUUAUAAACGCCAAUACUUUUUUUGUUUAUUAACAUUUAAAAGUGUUUAAGUGCUAAGAAAAAUAUAAGAAAUAAUGUUUAGCAUUACCUCAAACCAUCACUAAACAUAAAAAAAUAAAUAAUAAUAAUAACAAUGACAAUUUGAACAGUCAUAAUUCCAAAUACGAGAAGGUUAGUAAUUGUGACCUCAAACACUAAAAUCAAAAUUCUUUUCAUAUGACGUUUAAGUAUAAGCACAAAUUCCUACGACCAACAUAAUUCUUUUUAGUAUGUUUUGUCCAACUCGCAUAUUUCUUGAAAACGAUUUUCCUAUUGGCCAACCAUCCCAAAGGUUCUCCAAGUUGAGUAUGACAAUUAUGAAGUCUUCAUGAUAUGGGUUACCGAAAAAAGGUCAAUUGUGGAGUCUUCAUAAUAUGGUUACCGAAAAGAAGUUGCAUUUGUUUCUAUGUACGGAAUGAGUCGUUAACUCUUAUGCUUCUCUAUUCACCAUGCAGUCACAAACAACCUUAGGAUUUCUCUAGUUCUACUGUGGGUUCGAUCUAUAAUUUAUCUAGAGUUGUUCGUUGUUCUUACUUGUACUUUGAUGUUUAUCACCUCGUUUGAUUCAUCCUUGGUAAUCAAUAUUUGAAUUCUAUCUAGCAUAACUUACACCUUAGCUCGAUAAUCUUAAAUGCAUCCAAAACCGCAAAUUUGAGGGCUUAAGAAGUACACUUCCAACCGCUACCAUAAAUGUACAUUUGGUCCUAUACAGAAAAAGGCAACUAAGAGACCUAUGUUAGCACAAAAGUUAUUUGAGAAAAAUUAUUCUAUCGGAUAUUAUUUUUUCCCUUCCUCUGCACGACUCCAUGAGAUGACAUUUCCCAUUAAGUCAUAUUGAGGACAAGAAAAGGAUGCUAACCUUUAGAACGACAGACAAACUUCCUACCCAAAUAACUCAUAGACUUGACUUAAAGGCCGAAUAAAAUUGACCUGCUAUGAUACCAAAUUGUAAAACCUAAGUAGAAAGAAAAUAGGAUAUUUUUUUCAAUGCGGAAAUAUUUCUUAAAAUGGAGCUCGGAUUUCACUAAUUUUUUUUUUUUCAAAUAACUUUAUAGUUCAAAGAGACUUAUUAAUUAAAACAUGCCACUUAAAAGAAAGUUUGAUAAUAUUUUACAAUCCAGUAUUUUUGAAAGCAAAAUCAUAAAAUAUAAUUUUAAAUCUAGACUAUGUUGUGAUUUGACUCCAAUGGACCCAAAGUAAAAUCUUAUGCCUAAAAAAUAAUCAGCACAGUGGGAUAAUAUAUUACAAUCUUAAUGAGGUUUCAAAGAGGGAUAAAAUAUAGUAUGCCACAUUUAAUAAUACAAUUGUAGAAAUAGUCCUAAAAAAUUAGGAUAAGAUAAAACAAUCAGGAUAAAUUAUAAGUCUAUUUUAAACUCAUUUACUAACCGAACGCCUAGAUUUUGCCUUUACACUGAAACUUAAUUUGACCAUGUUUAUCCCAUAGUUCUUAUAAUUCUCAUACACAUACGUAGAUCUAACACAAUAUAUAAUAUCUUUUUAAUUUUAUUUCUAAAUACCAUUGAGCGUGAGUGUACUAAAAGAAAUUUUCUUCCUAGUGAAGUGAGACAUGUAAAUCACAAUAGACAUUCUUUAUGUUUGCGUACCUUCACAACUCUAUCUCACACAUUAUUAAACUUCUUUAAUUUCCUGUAUAAAAAAUUAGUACUUGUAGCGCUAAUAGUCACCUUAUUUUAUUUACUUGCUAGCCAGUGAAGUGAGAUAUAUAAGUAGCAAACAAUCAUUAUUUUUUAUCCUACCUUCACAUAUCUACCCAACAAUGUCUUAUUAUAUUAUACUUAUUUCUACUUAAAUGCAUAAAGUGUGAUUUUAAUUAAUCACCCUAAUGAUUAGUUACUAGAUCAAGAUUCAUAAACAUGAUCCACUUUUAAAAUUAUAACUAAAUCUAAUAAAUUAUGUAUAGUUUUUAAUGAUAAAAGUUCUACUCCUAAAUUACUUCUGUAAGAUGAUUUAUGAACACAAUAUUGGCAAUAUGUCAAAUACUUCAAUUGUAGAAUUUUAAAAUAGUAGUUAAACUUACAGCUCAGUUUUCUCAGUUAUACCACAACCAAAAUGAGACAAAUUAAAGUUCGCAGUUAUACCACAACUAAAAUGAAACGAAUUAAAGUCUAUUUCGUAUUAAAUUUUCUCUGGUUUCUAAUGUUUCAAGUUUUACUCUUAAAAGAAAUGUGUAACUAAAUGUUUAAGUAAAUCACUAACAGGGCAUACCAAUCACAAGUUGAAGAAUUUACAUCCUAUCUAUUCUAUUAUUAAUCCCAUAUAAGAUAUCAGUGGCGGAGCCAGGAAUUUUAUGCAGUCUGGGCAAAAUUUUUACACCAUUGAUUAUUCAUUUGUUUUAAUUUUCACACCUUAUUUUUACUAAUUUUGCCCCUAAUUUGCCCCGGAUUUUAUCUAAAAAUCGACUAUUAAAUUAGGGGAGUACAAAGAAAAUAGGGGUUGAGCCCGGGCGCCUGCCCGGGCUAGUUGGGCCUUGGCUCCGCCCCUGUAAGAUAUAGUACAUCUUAUGGUUUUAUAGUGCCCCCUAACAUUUCAUAAACAUCAAAUACAUAUAGAAAAUUUCGAAGGUUAAAAACAUUAAAUAUGGAAUGUGCAUAUUCAUUAUGUAAAAAAGAUCAUUCUAACACUAUUAUGCAUGCAUCAUGAUCGAUUCAUAAUCAAAAUCAUAUCUUUUAUUUUUACAGCCCUUAAUUCGAAAAUAAUGAUGUGUGAGGGAUGGGAAGACCUAAACCUAAAAACACUAAUAACAUCAAUAAUGUGAACAAAUACAAGGUCUUCAUUUAAUCAAAUAUAAUCAGGAUUGGAUAAUUCUAAUAUAUUCAAUUUGUUUGCACAAUGAUUGCCUUCUAUGGUAAAAUGUAUUGUUAGGAAACAAAUUGACACGAAUUUUGUCAAAUAUAUGUAAUUGAUCCAUCCAUUUAAGAGGCCCAAGGAUUAUAUAAGUUUCUAAAUGUUAUAAUAACCAAUUUAAAAUAUGUUUCUAACUAAAGUUUAUUCCACCCUUUAUCACAUUUGGUCUAAACGGGUUGGCCCUAGCGGGCCUCGAGCUUUUCAGGGCCAUGCCCAAAAAUCCCAGAUUGAAUAUGGAUUCUAAUUUUGCUACCUGAGCCCAAUCUUGUAUGGACUAUGGGCUACCCAGCCCUAAAUGGACCCAUUACAAAAAAUAAUGAAAUAGUCUCCUUAUUUUUGUAAGUAACUAUGCAAUAAUACUUGUAGUAUGUAUUAAAUUUCAAAUCCAAAACUAGGGUUUCUAAAUAAUCCAUCUAAGUUAACAAUUAAAAUCUAAAACAACACAUUAACUUAAUUUAAAAUGAUCACAAUUUAUCCAACCUAGCACACAAAUUUAAAUAACUUGUUCCAACUAGGGGUGGCAAAACGGUCUGUGGCCCGUUGGGCCGGUCCGCGCACCCGCAAAAAAUUGGCAAGUUGGGUUGGAGUUUUGGGUCUAGCGCCCACCAAAGUCCGCCCCGCCAAAACCUGUCGCCCAUCAAAGUUCGCCUCGCCUAUUCGUUCAGCUCGUCUUGCCUUAAGUCUGCCAUUUUUAGCUAAUUCUAGUAACUCCAAUUUUAGAUGGUUUUAAUUUAUACAUUUAUUUGUAAAUAUAUGUAUUAUUUUUUAAGUAAAAUUUGUUAAAAAGAUGCUUUUAUAAAAAAAUUGUUUUAAAAAGUAAGUGAAAAUUUUAAUUUAAAGAUAAAAAAAACAUAUUAAUCUAUUAAAAAACGAAAAAAAUAUAAAUAAAAAAUAGGCGAGCAAGCCCGCCGCCCGCCAACCCAUCAUUUUGGCGGGGCGAGCAUGAUUUUUAUACCCACUUCACUUGGCGGACUUGCCCACCCCACUCUCUUUUUGGCGGGCUUAAGUCGGGGCGGGCGACCCGUUUUGCCGCUGUUGCACCCCAAAAUUUGUCCUCUUUCUCUGUGCUAUAAGUUUUAAAAGACGUUUAUUUCGUCGCUUGAAAAUCAGAAAAGUUAUAAAGAGUUUCUUAUGCAUGAUGUGUGCGAUCGUUAAUUCAACUGGCAUUCAUUGAAUUUCAUAGUGAAGUGUUCUUAUGUGCUUUAAUUUUUAUCUUCAUCAAAGGAGUUCUCCAAGCCUUAUGGUUAUGUUAAAGUCUUUUGUUGAGGAAGUACCUUUGUCAGGACAUGAUAUAUGACUUAAGAAUUCAUUUCAAUCGAUGCAUCCUCGUUCUUUCAAAUUGUUUGGUUGUUUGAAGUCUAAGCCACUUGCGGUUUGAUAAUUAAAUACGAGUUUUCGUCUAAAGAAUUGGAUCCAUUGGUGAUUUCUAAAGGCCGUGAGUUCAUGUUUGUUCAGGAUGUUAAGUUUUGGUGCCCACAAGGAUUUAUUGGUGUUCACAUUACAAGGCUAAGGCGUACAUGUUUAUGCAUCAAAAGGAUUCGUUCAAGUAUUGAUACAAUUUCUUCCGAAUUCAUUCAAUCAUUCAUUCGUUCAAGUUCUACACAUUUUGGUGUUAAUCAUCAUUCAAGUUUUCAUACAUUUCAACUUUCAUUCAAAACUCAUUACAAAAAAAAUCAUGUUAUUACAUUCAACUUCAUUCACAAAACCCUUUCAAAUUUCUAUCCAAUGUUCAUUACAAAGCCCACUAAAAAAAUUUCCAUAGUUCAUUGUUCGGAUCCUAUUUCACUACGCUUCAAAUAAACCUAUCCCUGCAUAAAAACUGGUUCAAUCAAACUGAGCUGCAAAAAAGGAAAAACAGAAACCUGCAGCAAAAUAAACCAGGUCGGUUCAGAAAGAAGAACAAACCGAACCGUAACACCAAGCCAAAAGAAUCAGCAUAACAGAAUCAGGAAAUUAGCAGUAGAAGAAGAACAAAAAAGAAAUGAACCGAAUGGUAACAAAAGGGGGGGAAGAUUCAGAACCAGAGAAGAUAACUGAAAAUGAUAACAAACUCUGCAAAAAGGGAUCUCGAUCGGAAUUCUCAACAAUCUUCACAAAUCCAUCUUCUUCAUCUUCUUCACAAAUUCAACAAACAACCGUAACAAACCUCCUAAAACUUUUCCAAUCUUCAUCAUCUCUUCUUCGUAAAAAAUCAUCAUCCCCAAUCUUUCAAUCUUUCUCUCUGGAUGCAUCACACCUCUAACUAAAAUCCUCUUCAAACCUUCUUCAAUUUCACCUUCAUCAACAUCGAUUCGACCUUCACAGAUUCAAACCUUCAUCAUUCAUCAUCUCCAUCUUCAUCAACAUCGAAUCUAACCUUCAAUUCUCCAUCGAUUUCACCUGCAAAAAAAUCACAAAAAAUCUUCAACAAAUUCUUCAUCACUCUCCCGAUUUCAUCACAAUCAUCACCGUAUUAUCUUGCUCCGUUCAACCUUCAACAAACCUGCAACAACAUGAUUCAUCAAUAACCUUCAACCUGCAGAAGAACAAGAAACAAGAAAAUCAAUUAUAACAGAAAUCUUCGUGCGGCUUCAAUCAUCAUCAACCAUCAAUCCUCUUCAGAAUCUUUCUCUCUAAACUUCAUCGAUCUUCAACAACCUUCACGCACAUCAAUCAUCACCAUGGCGAAACUGUAUCUCCAAGCGUAACUUUCACGAUACCUGCGAGUUCAACUCAACCACGCCGCAAUUUCCAGAAACGUUUCGAUCUUCAUCAUCAAAUCAUCAACAAAACCUGAAACGGAAUCGAAAUCAACGUUUAAUAGCAAUAACGUUUCAUCAUCAUCAACACGCGAAAUGAAAAGAAGAAGAAAAUAGAGUAAGAGCACCGGAUGUUGGAUUUCUCAUCGUCUUCAUCGGUCUUGAAGAAGCACAGAACACUGUUCCGAGAAGAGAUAUGGUCGAGCGAGAGAUUAGCUAGGCUGAGCAGAGAUCGAGAGAGGUCGAAAGAUUGAGGCGAAGAGAACUUGAUUCGGAGAGAGUGAGAGGUUGAGCCGCGAGAGAAGCGAAUCGGAGAGUUUUUGAGAAAACGAGUCCGGAGAAGAGAGAGCCACCGCACCGUCGCCGUUCGCGGCCAUACGAGAGAGGAGAGAGCUUUUCAGGUUCAGUUGAAUGGUCAUAACUUGACCUAAUCCCUCUUUUAAUUGUCUUGUUUAAUUUGAAUUAAUGUCAAUUAAUAUAGAGUCUAAUUUGGUAUUGAAUCUGAUUAAUGUGAAUAAAAAACUGAUUGAAUUGCUGUUAAUUGAAUCAUUAAUUUGAAGUGAUAUAAAAAAAUCUGAAAAAAUGUGUUGGAUCAUGAUAAUAAUUAUUGUGGAUCAAUAAUCCUUGGGCCCUUCACCGAACUACUAUUCGAACCUCCCCUAAGCCCAAUCACACUCAUUCUUUUUUGUGCUAAAUGAACUGAACAAAAACAAUGAUUCUUUGGGCCUCAAUCCCCAGGCCUUGCGCUGACCUUGCUGUCUGCACCCUAUUUUCACACUUAAACCCCCUGGCCCAUAUAAAUUCAUGCUAGAACUUAGUUUUUUGUUUACAUAGUUUUUCUCUACUUCUUUUAGAUAAUAAAAUGACACAUAAAAACAAUUGUUUUGUUAGACUUUUGUAUGUUAAAAAUGAACAAAAACAUGUAUCCUUUUCUUGAUUAGAAUUUAAAUGUUUUGUUUCAUAGUGUAGUUCUAAUUCUUUGAUAAAAUACCAUGAAAAAUACAAUAUUUGAUUAGACUUUUGCAUGAUAAGAAAAGAAUAAUAAAAAAACAUGUAGUAUUUUUUUUGUUAGAAUUUUAUAUUUUUGUACAUAGUUUUGUUCUUAUUCUUAGAUAAAAAUGCCCUAAAAAAACAAUUUAAUCUUGUUAGACUUUUGUUUAGGAUUUAUUUAUAAUUUAAUUUCUCUUAUUUUCUAUGGUCGGUGCAUGCUUCCUUGUUCUUACUGAUUUGGUUGUUGAGAUGUGCGAGGUACUUCGAGAAAGCCUUCGAUUGCGAUUCGACUUACUUUGUGUCCCACUUUAUUUGUGGGACACGAAUUCGCUUCCAGUGCGAUUGAUUUGAGUCGUGUUCCACUUUAUUUGUGGGACACGAACUUAUUCCCGAUACGAUUCACCUGAUCUCUCAUUCAUUGAGAUGUAUAUUCUUGAAUUGUCUGGCUUGUGUUCUCUUGCAGGUUUGUAUGGUUAUGCUCGACGUGUACCACAUGUCGCUCGUGAUUUAUUUUCACGACGACACUUUCUGACUCGCUUUGCUUGAUGAUGGUUUACGCGAAGUACUUCGGACUUCUCUGCUUACGCUUGCUAGCUCAUUGCGGAUUUGCUAUCCGUUUGGUAUUGUCUCCUUGGCCCUUUUACUUCUUUCUGUACUUUAUUGCUUUUCGCAUCAUCCUAUAACAUGAGAAGUAGGACCUAGACAUGCAUCUGGCCAAGCCCUCGAAAGAGGCUCUGUUUUUGUUGGUAUGUUUACAUUUGUGCUUUGCGGCAGGGAGUCACGGUGUAAUAAGUCCUAUAUGGCACUCCGUUAAGUCCUCUUGGAAGGCACGCGGAAAGGGUUAGCAAUCAACCCCCGCCCAGUCUCAUCGAGUUUGUUCAGUAUGCGCACGCUACGCGUGGCUCGCUUCUGAACCUGCACAAGAUCUUGUUAUUGAGUAUGUCAGGAAAAGGGUUCAUGCAGCCGGACCCCCGCCUUUCCUAUAGGUCGCGUCGCUCGACGUUGAUGCUCGGUGUACGCACGCACCGUCUUCCUUUACGAUCCGUGACGGCUUGGUUGCUGAGAGGGAUCCGCUCCUCUUGUCUAUGGCUCGAUCAUUUUCGCGAGGUCUAAUGCUUGGUUGACUUGGGUCGAGUUGCUCCCCUUGGCUAUGGAGGGACCGCUUUUCUACCAUUCGGUCAGUACCGUUGGUUUUGUUUGCUUUACGAGCGGAGCUCGUUUGUGUGAUAUUAUUAUGUGCUUUCCCUUUUCCCCCGUAGGUUGAUAGGCUAGUUUAGACUUGUACCCUUUGUAUGAUAACAUUAGGUAGCAAGCUUUCCCCCUUAGCUUAGGUUUUCCUCAUGCAUUCUUUAAAACACAAACCACACUCUUUGAUUUUCUUUUCUUAAGAGCUUGUUAUUUCCGCUCCAUUCCCAGCAUAAGUCUCCAAAGGUCGAGCAGCGGAGUGUGAAUGUAACUUGUUCACCUAAAAAACACAAAACAAACAAAAAUUAGUUAGCCGAGCUACGGUAACUCUGAUUCUGCAAAACAGAUACGUAGGCAGCGGGGUAGGCCCCGUGCGAGCACAAUCCUUUCUUUUCCCUAUAUUCUGCAUUCAUUUUAGUCCAGAUUAGCGUAGUUUUGUUACACACCCAUAGAUAUAGACACUAGCGUGGAUACCAUCGAGUACGAUGGGCGUGAGGGGUGCUAGUACCUUCCCCUCGCGUAACCGACUCCCUUACCCUUUUUCUCUGGUCGUGAGACCGUUGUUUUGUUUUGUGGUUUGCUGGCAUUCCCUUCCUUUUCAGGAUAAAUAUGUUAGUGGCGACUCUGUUUAUUUUUGCGGUAGCGACAACCACCCUUAGUUUCAACAAGGUUUAAGUUACACAUUUCAUGCAGGGGUGGCAAAGUGGGCUGCCUGCCCCGCCAUAUGUCCGCCAAAAAAGAGUGGGACGGACAAGCCUGCCAAGUUGAAAUGGGCAUACAGACCUAUCCCGCCCCGCUAGGUGGUGGGCUUACCCGCCUAUUUUUUUUCUUCAUUUUUUAAAAUAAAUUAAUAGACUUUUUUUACAUUUCAAAUUCCAUGUUCAAAUGUUCGUCAUGUCACAAAAUAACUUUAUUCCAACUUUUAAAAAUGUUUCCAUACUUUAGUUGUAUGGGCCUUUUUGUUUUUUGGUAGUUGGCUUGGAAAACUCUUCUUGGUUAAUCUCAUUGUCAUCAAGAUCAAUUACAUCAGACAAAGCAAAUAAUGGUAAAUGUGGAGUUGCCCUAAAUUGCCUAGCAUUAACCUUACUAUUACUAUUAAUUUCUACAAUUAGAGUAGACACAAAUUAUAAUCCCUACAUGUAAAUCACCAGAAUAACAACAACAAGCAUUCGAUUCAGAUCAACACAAAAUCAUCCCUAAUUUUUUUAUAAAAUCAACAGAGUCACAUCACAAUCACAACAACAUAUAGUUUUGUUAAAUCAAAAUUUCCCUCUUUCUCUUUUCAGCCAUAAAAACUUUUUCUCCCUACUUUCUCUAAUUUAAGCUACUAGUCACUAAAACAGCAUAUUCACAGAAACGAAGACAAAGUCACGAAUCAAAAACAACAUAUUCAUAGUC